GGUGUCCAUCUUCUGCUAUAUCAUCACUUUUACCCUGGAAAAAAUCAUGGGCAAGCUUACGGGACGAAACUCCGCCGCCACGAGGCGGAACCUUGGCGGAAUCAAUCUAGGGCUCUGGCGGAGCUGUUCUGCCAGGGACACUUCCUCUGGGAGGGGGAAAUCAUCACCAACGUCAUCACCAACGAUCCUCUCAUCGAGAGGGGGUCAAUCUCCAUCAACAUCUUCACCAGCACCAUCUCCUCUCAAAACCCUAGUUCAUCUCUUGUAUCCAAUCUUGUCUCAAAACCACAAAUUGGUACCUGUGGGUUGCUAGUAGUGUUGAUUACUCCUUGUAGUUGAUGCUAAUUGAUUUACUUGGUGGAAGAUCAUAUGUCCAGAUCCUUUAUGCAUAUUAUUACUCCUCUAAUUAUGAACAUGAAUAUGCUUUAUGAGUAGUUACGUUUGUUCCUGAGGACAUGGGUGAAGUCUUGCUAUUAGUAGUCAUGUGAAUUUGGUAUUCGUUCGAUAUUUUGAUGAGAUGUAUGUUGUCUUUUCCUCUAGUGGUGUUAUGUGAAUGUCGACUACAUGACACUUCACCAUUAUUUGGGCCUAGAGGAAGGCAUGGGGAAGUAAUAAGUAGAUGAUGGGUUGCUAGAGUGACAGAAGCUUAAACCCUAGUUUAUGUGUUGCUUCGUUAGGGGCUGAUAUGGAUCCAUAUGCUUAAUGCUGUGGUUAGGUUUACCUCAAUACUUCUUUUUGUAGUUGAGGAUGCUUGCAAUAGGGGUUAAUCAUAAGUGGGAUGCUUGUCCAAGUUAGGGCAAUACCCAAGUACCGGUCCACCCACAUAUCAAUUUAUCAAAGUACCGAACGCGAAUCUUAUGAACGUGAUGAAAACUAGCUUGACGAUAAUUCCGAAUGUGUCCUCGGGACCUCCUUUAUCAUUAUUAGAAUUUGUCCAGGCUUAUCCUUUGCUACAUAAAGGAUUGGGCCACCUUGCUGCACUUUAUUUAGUUUAUUUACUUGUUGCUCGUUACUAUUUAUCUUAUCACAAAACUAUCUAUCACCUACAAUUUCAGUGCUUACAGAGAAAACGUUACUGAAAACCACUUAUCAUUUCCUUCUGCUCCUCGUUGGGUUCGACACUCUUACUUAUCGAAAGGACUAUGAUAGAUCCCCUACACUUGUGGGUCAUCAGUAGGCCCGGAUGUAUUUUUUUAGUACCGCUCGCAAGAAGUAGUACCGCUACCCUUUGCGGUAGUACCACGAUCCCUAGCGGUAGUACCGUGAGGACGAGCGGUAGUACCGCUCCGGCGGUUCUACUGGCCUUUUGCCUCCUCGCUGUUGUUUUUCAAAGGGGUACUACCGCCCUAGCGGUAGUACCGCUCCUUGGAGCGGUAGUACCGCUCUGUGCGGGCUGUGAGCAUAAUGGUUGGAUUUUUUUUCCCACCUAUAAAAGGGGAUCUUCUUCCCCAUUGAACCUCGUCCUUUGAGCUCGUGUUCUUCCCCCAUUGUUGACCUUCUUCGAGCUUGCUAACUCUCAAUCCCUCCAAUGAUUCUUGCUAGUUCUUGAGGGAAAAGAGAGAGGAGAUCUAGAUCCACGUUUCCACCAAUCACUUUCUCCUCUAAGUGAGGGGAACCCCUUGGAUCUAGAUCUUGGAGUUCUUCGUGUUCUUAUUUCGUUCUUCCUCUCAUUUUCCUCCCUAGCAUUAGCUGAUUUGGUGGGAUUUGGGAGAGAAGGAUUUGGGCACUCCGUGUGCCCUUGCCGUUGCAUUUGGUGCAUCGGUUUGAGUUCUCCACAUGAUACGUGGAAGUUACAAGUUGAGAAGCUUAUUACUCUUGGGUGCUUGGUACCCUUGAGCUUGUUACUCUUGGGUGUUUGGACAUCCUAGAGCUUGUUCCUCUUGGGUGCCGUGGUGCCCUAGACGGUUGGUGUUGUUCGGAGCUCAAUCAUUGUGGUUUAAAGCUCCGGGCAAGCGUCCGGGUCUCCAAUUAGGUUGUGGAGAUCGCCCCGAGCAAUUUGACGGGUACCGGUGACCUCCCCCAAGGGUUGCCAAAGUGUACGGGUUCGGUGACCACCCCCAAGGGUUGCCAUUUGUAUGGGUUCGGUGACCGCCCUCAAGGGUCCCUUAGUGGAAUCCCAACAUCUUGCAUUGUGCAAGGGCGUGAGGAGAUUACGGUGGCCCUAGUGGCUUCUUGGGGAGCAUUGUGCCUCCACACCGCUCCAAAUGGAGAUUAGCAUCCGCAAGGGUGUGAACUUCGGGAUACAAUGUCGUCUCCGCGUGCCUCGGUUAUCUCUUACACGAGCCCUUUACUUAUGCACUUUACUUUGUGAUAGCCAUAUUGUUUCUUGUCGUAUAUCUUGCUAUCACUUAGUCUUUUAUCUUUCUUAGUAUAAGUUGUUGGUGCACAUAGGUGAGCCUAGUUGUUGUAGGUUUUGUGCUUGACAAAUUAACCGCUAGGUUUAUUCCGCAUUUGUUCAAGCCUAAACCGUAAUUACUUUAAAGCGCCUAUUCACCCCCCCCCCCUCUAGGCGACAUCCACGAUCUUUCACCUAUGGUGUGAUCGGCUACCAUUAAGGAUUGAUAACUACGUGUUCCCCUCAGACCUAAUAGCAUUGGAGUCACAAGGACUGAAUGUAGUAUUAGGCAUGGAUUGGUUAUCGAAGUAUGGAGGGAACAUUGACUACGCCAGUAAGUCGAAUUUGCUCACCACCCCAGAAGGAAGAAGAUUAAGUAUGUAUCCCGGCAUGUGCCGAAGAGGACUCAAGUAAAUUCCUUAUCAGGAGUUGUAUAGGAGGAAGUACCAGUUGUGAAGGAUUUCCCAGAUGUAUUUCCAGAGGAGUUGCCACGCAUGCCACCGGAUAGAGACAUUGAGUUUUUGAUUGAGCUUUUGCCAGGCACAGGGCCAAUAUCUAAGAGACCGUACCAGAUGCCCGCAAAGGAUUUGGAAGAAAUCAAGAAGCAGAUUAAGGAGUUACAGGAUAAAGGCUCUAUUCGCCCAAGUUCGUCACCUUGGGAAUCACCAGUGCUUCUAGUGGAGAAGAAGGAUGGAUUGUUGAGGAUGGUUGUUGAUUAUCGUGGAUUGAAUGAAGUGACGAUCAAGAAAAAGUACCCACUGCCAAUGAUCAAUGAUUUGUUUGACCAGUUGCAAGGAGCUAAAGUAUUUUCCAAGAUCGAUCUACGAUCAGGAUAUCACCAGCUGAAGAUUCGAGAGCAGUAUAUACCUAAGAUAGCUUUUACCGGAGAAGAACACAAGAAACCGGAGAUGGCUCUCCCACCCACCUAUCACCCACCUCCUACCACCUCUACCCAACAAUGGCGCCUAAGGAUCUAGAUCAUGGAUGGUCUUCUGCAUUGGGAUUUCUCCCCCGGCCUUGUGGUCGCGGCUCAAGUGCGUUGACGCUUUGGUUCUAUGGUUCACUUCUCCCCCUCUGGUUGUAGCAAGGAAUUCUUUUUGGUGGUUAGAUUUUCUUCGGCCUCCUUUGCUCUUAAUGAAGAAUUUGUUGCAUUGGCUCUGCAAUGCUCCAUUGGAGGUCUUCCUUCGGGAUUACAUGUUAAGCAUUUGGAUGGACGUCAUUUUCGGUUCUCGGUUGCCUCUAAUCGGGUUGGUCAUUUCAUCUACGGUCUCAAGGAUCGAGUUUGGCCGGACUUUGUAUGCCAUUUUAGUCUCUUUCGACCAGGAGUGCACUCUCGUUUGCAUAACCCUCUCUCUUGGCACUCGGAUCAGCAAAACCCUGAGAUCAACACCAGAUCACCUGUUGCAUGCAAGUCCUCACAUCGUUUUACGUCUGAAUUAUGUCAUGUGAUUGAGGCUUCGUCUCUGAAUGUUCUCGCGAAAGCUAGGUUUUCUGUUGAGAUUAAUGGUGUGGACAAUCAUUCGUGCUCACCGCCGGUCACACUCCGGCAGCCUCCGGUUAGCCGACAGGAUUCUUUUGGUAAGGAAAUUGCAAUACCUAGUAAUGAGUCUUUAAUGGCUAAUUCCUUGAUUAUCGGCCACAUUAAUGUGGAUUUGUCUGGCCGGUCGGCUAACACUAUGGAUAUCAAUCACCAGCGAUUUGAGGGGCAUUAUUUUGAAUCUAAGGCUUGGCACCAAAUUCCUGGAUUUAUAUUGCGUCACAUUCUGGAUCAUUACUGCAUGGGUGUCUCGGUGGAAAAAGUUGCUUCUUUAUGGAAAUUAGCCUCGGUCCCCACCCCGGAUUUCAUUUAUAAUAAAUUGGUCAUUUGUAGUAAGUGCAAUGGCAUUGAUCAUAGGGUGGCAAAUUGCCCGCGUCGGGACUGCCAGGUUUGUUCUCACAACCCUUGUCAGUGUCUGCCUAAUAGCCCCGAUCCCAGCCCACCUGCUUUAACAUCUCCAGCCUGCACCAUUUGUGCCUCUACGGCCCAUGCUUUCUUUGAGUGCCCGACUAAAUCCUACUGUGGGGCUUGUGGGCUUUUGGGCCAUUUAAAUCGUCAGUGUGCCACCCCGGGGACUCGCUACUUAUUUUGGAGACCGAUUUUACGUGCACAAAAUUCUGGCUUAUCAGUAAUUGAUACAUUUCCUACGGUCAAAGAUUCUACUGCUGGGGUUCAUGGAAAGUAUCGUUGGAAAGAUAAUGAUCGUGUCUUGUCUGGGAUAUUACCGCAGAACCUAAAUGCUACUUCCUUUCAACACCCACCUGCCACCCGGCGUCGCUCAGCCGUGCGAUGCUCAUCAUGCGGUCAUGUUGGCCACUUGGUGGACGCCUGCCAGAAACUUUUGCACAAGCGCCGAGGGGUCUGGGUACCCAAAUCGAUACCCGAGGUGGACGAUAUGCAUUCUUCCUUCUUAUAGUCUGGGCACGCCUCUGCUCCGGCUCCCUCCACCACUCCAAUGGCGAACUAUCCCCUCAACGUCGUCCCCUACCUUCCGCCUGGCAUGACCAUCAAGAUUGGGCCGGCUGACCGCAGGGUGCGUGCAGACAUGGUCGUUGGCCCAAUCCCUCCUCUGUGCCAUGAUUUCUUGGCCAUUGCUGAGGCCAACAGAUUCAUCCCCUUUCAUCAGAAGGCUGAUCUGCGAAACAUCAUUGAAGGUUUGCUCCAUGAAUCACAUUACUUCCCUUCUGAAGUUUCGGAUCAUCCACUAGGAGUCGGUUUGUUUGGGUUUGCUUCUUCUGUCAUCCGUGAUGCGGUUGUCGGUACCACCUUCGAGCUUGACGAAAAUGAGGUUGAGGAGCACACUGUUAUUUCAUUCGUCCCUCAUGAUGCUGCCCUCAACAUGCGCUGACAACUUUUGGUCCGGUGGUGUGGAUUCUGUAUGUGGGUUUUCCCUAUGAUUAUCAGACAUAACACUACAUGCACAAAUCCGUUGAUUCUUUUGGUGCUGUGGUUGAUUGGAAUAAUCCUAGAGGAGAUAGGAGGCUGGUGCUUGUUAAAGUUAGAGUAAUUCAUUUGCAAUUAGUGCCCAAAAGCCUUGUUAUCCGUCAGAUAUGAGGGGCUAGGCAGUGCUAGACUUUUGAUGUAACUAUGAUGCGGAGUAAAGAUUGGAACGCUCACCUGCCUGAAGUUCCACCAGCUGGAGAAGAUCCACCACCCCCUGAUGGUAUUCCUCAUCCGCUGCAUGGAGAAGGUCUGAAUGCAGAGCAACUAUAUCAGCAGCAACUUCAUAACUGGAUGGCUCAGAAUGCAGUGGCAGAUGCUGCAGCCAAUGAAGGAGAAAAUGUGGUUGUUGAUGAAGGUAAUGACAUUGAGAUUCACCCUGAGUGGUGUGUGUGGCCACCUCCUCCUCCAUAGGCACCUCCUGUUCUUUACAACUUCCAGCAAUGGUUGGCUGGGGAGGGGCUUCAGGUUGAUCAUGGCAUUGUGCCACCACAGAAUAUGCAUGACAGCCCUGGGGCUGCCUGGAAUGACUCUAUUUCUGUACCAUCAAGUUCAGAUUCCAGUGCAACCAUUUCUGACUCAUAUGUGUUAGAGCCUGUCAAUCUCAUGAACCAGUACUGGCCACAAGAUGUUACUGGUGCUCCUACAGCUAACAUUGAAGUCUUUGCUUUGGUCAGUCCUGGGAACAACCAAAUUGAUCAUCCUCUCAGCUCUGAAUCUGCUUCUCUGCCAAAUAAUGUCAUGGAGUUAUCUCUGAAUUUUUCUGCUGCUGGCCUACACUUGGAUAUGUCUACUCAAGGUGAUUUCAUACCUGCUAUGCUCAUUAGGGACUGAAUUCCCAUGCUCAGGUUAAACACUUAUCUUGCUGCUGCUAUUAAGCCCAUUGUGGCUUCUUUUGGCCCAUGGAGAGAUCACUAUGGCUUUCAGCAAGAUUCAGUCACUUUUAAAAUUACCAUCUCUAAAAAUGAUGGUCUUCUGACAGUGGUCUCUGCUUCCAAAACCAUUGCAAAUGCUUCUUCCUCUAAUGUUAUAAUUGAAGAUCUCUCUGAAGUUGUUAGUCGGGAGCUUACUGUGGAUGUGGUUGAUCAAGCUCAAGUUUCUGAAGAAGUCUUGUCUGAACCAAUGGACAUGCAGAUUGUUCAUGUGGGCCAAGUGCAGCAGCCUCCUCCCACUGUCUCAGAUUUUGCUGGCUCCUCCACAAUCCUCACCCGCAAAGGCAAAUCAGUGGUGCCUGAAUGUGAUAUUGCUCUGCGUAGAAGUGCACGCACCAACAAAUAUGAUGGCUUCAAACUCCAUCAGGUUUCUGACAGCAAGAAAAAAACUUCUAAGGUUAAACCCAGGGUUGUUCCCACUGCUCUCACUAUCAGGGAGGUAGAUGAUGAUGAGAAGAUCCCGCCGCCUACACCUGGCAGGGUUAUCCAGCAGAUUGGCACUCGACUUAAUUUCUCUUUUGCAGAUCAUUUACUUUACUUCCGCAAUGAAUCUUUUGGUGAACUGGAAUGUCUUAUGUUGGAACGUACGCGGGUUAAAUUCCGGGGACAAGCAGUUAGUGCUUUCCAAUGCGAUAGUGGUUGUGCGGUGGUAUGUUUGCAAGAAACUAAGAAAUGAUCGUUUGAUUUGUCUUUCAUUAAGUCUUGCUGCCCUCGUCGCUUUGAUCAAUUUGUGUUUGUACCUUCUCGUGGGGCAUCGGGGGGUAUUGUCACCAUUUGGAAUAGCACUAUUUUCUCCACUGACGUGCUUUUAUCUGAAGAUUUUGCACUGGUCAACGUUUCAAAUCAAUUCAAUCGGCACAAUGUUGGACGUUGAUUAAUGUAUAUGGACCUUGUCAAGGUGAGCAGAGGGAACAAUUCAUCCAAUGGUUGUGCUCACUUAAUAUUCCCUCAAGUGAAGAUUGGCUCUUUGUGGGUGACUUUAACUUUAUACAUGCACCAGACAAUCGUAAUAAACUUGGAGGCAGCAUUAAUGACAUGAACACAUUUAAUGAUUUCAUUCGCUGUCAAAGCCUCAUUGAAUUGCCUAUCAAGGGAUGUUCUUUCACUUCGAGCAACAUGCAGAUUGACCCUCUUCUAGAACAAUUGGAUUGGUUUUUUACGAGCACCAAUUGGACCACGUCUUACCCCAAAACUUUGGUUAAACCACUUGGUAAACCAGUCUCCGAUCAUAUUCCAUGUGUGGUUACUAUUGAAACAAAUAUCCCUAAAUCAAAACUAUUCCGCUUUGAAUCGUUCUGGGUCCAACAUCCGGGUUUCAUGCAAAUUGUUGAAUCUUCUUGGGCCAAACCAGUGCACUCCACAAAUACUGCCACCAUUCUGUGCCGAAAAUUCAAAACCCUGAGACGUGAUCUUAAACAUUGGAGCAAAGGCAUAUCUAAACUAUCUGUGGCCAUUGAGAACUCAAACAAAAGCCCUUUGUGAGACCGAUGAGCUUGAAAACAAACGGACUUUAUCUAUACCUGAAGCUAAUUUUUGAAGAAUUCUCAAGGCACACAUCAUAAGAUUAUUACGAUAUCAACAAGCUUAUUGGAAAAAGCGUUGUACCAUCAGAUGGGUCAAGUUCGGGGACGAGCCAUCCAAAUUUUUCCAGGCCUUGGCCUCUGAAAGGUAUAGGAAGAACAAUAUUGCUACUCUUGCAACACCAGAUGGCACUUUGGUGGAGGAUCAUGCAGGAAAAGAAUCUAUAAUCUUUCAAACGUUUAAAGAAAGGCUGGGAUCAUCAAGACCCUGCAAUAUGAAAUUCAACCUAUCCCGUAUAAUCAAGAAAUGCAAUGGACUUGAUGAUCUGACCAUUCCUUUUACACAUGAGGAGAUCGACAAAGUUGUUAGAGAAAUGCCCGCUGACAGAGCCCCUGGUCCGGACGGCUUUAAUGGUUUAUUCUUAAAAUGAUGCUGGCCAAUCAUCAAGAAUGACUUUUAUAACUUGUGCAAUCAAUUCCACAAUGGGGAGCUCAAUUUGGAAAGCAUUAACGACGGCUUCAUCACGCUCAUCCCCAAAGUCGGCUCUCCUAAGUCUAUCAAUGACUAUCGAUCGAUCACGCUUCUCAACUGUUGCCUCAAAGUUGUCACAAAUUUUUUGGCUAAUAGACUUCAAAAAGUUAUCCUCAAAAUCAUGCACAAGAACCAAUAUGGAUUUCUCAAAGGACGGACUAUACAAGAUUGUCUUGCAUGGGCUUAUGAGUACAUAUAUCAAUGUCAAUCUUCCAAAAAGGAAAUCAUGCUUCUCAAGUUAGAUUUUGCCAAUGCAUUUGAUACGAUCGAGCAUGAGGCAAUGAUUGAAAUUAUGAAAAACAUGGGAUUCAAUGACAAAUGGCUGGGAUGGAUUUGAUGCAUCUUCUCUUCGGGCAAAUCUUUGGUCCUUCUUAAUGGCACUCCUGGUCGGCAAUUCUACUGCAAAAUGCGGUGUAUGGCAGGGGGAUCCUCUCUCCCCCCUCAUCUUUGUUCUUGCGGCCGACCUCUUGCAAGCUGCCAUAUAUAAAUGAUGCUUUUGCACGCAAUUUGAUUCAUCUGUCGUUCCCAUCCCCACACCAAAAUGAUUAUCCUGUGAUUCAAUACACCGACGACACCAUCUUGGUUAUGCCCGCAUGCACCCAACAAGCUACAACUAUCAAGGACAUCUUAAAUGACUAUGCAACGUCCAUUGGGUUGAAAAUAAAUUUUCACAAAUCCACUCUCGUCCCAAUGAGUUGUGACCUGGAAAAGACUCAGGAAAUAGCCACUAUAUUUGGAUGUGUCAUUGGCAAGCUACCGUUUACCUAUUUGGGCCUUCCACUUGGAACUACACGUCCAACGGUCAUUGAGCUCAUGCCACUGGUUUGCUCUAUGGAAAGAAGACUAACUGCCACUCUAAAUAUGAUAUCCUACGGUGGCAAAUUAUCCCUGCUCAAUUCAGUAAUUACUUCAUUGAUCAUUUUUGCUCUAUGCGCACUCAGAUUGCCAACCAAGAUCAUUGAACUGCUGGAUAAGAUUAGAAGAAAGUGCUUGUGGACUAAAAAAACUAAACAAGGCGAUAAAUGCAACUCCCUAGCCACCUGGAACAUGGUCUGCCAACCUAAGGAAUGCGGAGGCCUAGGUGUGAUUGAUCUAAGAACACAAGGAGAUGCCCUCUUACUCAAAUACUUACAUAAAUUCUAUAAUAGUUGGGACGUGCCUUGGGUCCAGCUCAUUUGGGACACAUACUACUCUAACCGCAUACCACAUGCUUCGGACACGUGUGGAUUAUUCUGGUGGCGUGAUGUUGCAAAACUAAUGCCCAUUUAUAGGGGGGUCUCCACGGUCCAGGUAGCAAAAGGUAGGAAUGUUCUUUUCUGGAAAGACUCUUGGGCAGACAACAUUAUUGCUAACAAAUAUCCUCGAGCUUUCUCUUACAUCAUCAAUGAAGACAUCUCGGUCAAAGAUUUCUUGUCCAUCACGGCACUGCGAGAGGCGUUUCAUCUUCCACUCUUAGAGCUAGCUCACGCUGAAGUUCGGCAACUUCAAUCUGACUUGGCCACGACUGCCUUAUCCGAUGAUGCAGAUGUUUGGUUAUAUGCAUGGGGAUUAGCGCAAUUCACGGCACACAAGUACUACACAUUCUACUUCAGAGAUAUUCGAGCGCAUGAGGCAUUUGGUUGGAUUUGGAAAUCAAGUGAGAAUAAAGGUUUUUGGUUGGUUGCUAUUGGUCGAUCGUCUCAAUACCAGGAAUAUGCUUAAACGAUGACAUUACAACAUUGGUGAAGACCACAAUUGUAUUCUUUGUGGAUUACAAAUUGAGGAAACCUUGGAGCACUUGUUCUUUGAAUGCCGCUUCAGCACUGAUUGUUGGGCAAGUCUUGGUCUUUCCUGGCCACAAGGAAUGUCACGCCUUCAGAAUGUUGCUAUGGCCAAACAAAACUGGGAUCGACCUCUUUUCAUGGAUAUGUUCUUGCUUGCGGCAUGGAGCUUAUGGAAGGAACACAAUAAUAAACACUUCAGGGGGAUUGUACCAACAAAACUUUCUUGGUUGGACAUAUUUAAGAAGGACUUCUCUCUCCUUACCUAUAGGGUCAAGGAAAAGCAUAAACAUCUCAUCCCUAUCAUCCUUUCUUCUAUAGUCUAGCAAAUCUAACACACACCCAAAUGGGGGGUUGACACAUGUAUAGACACUAUGUAAUUUGUACAACAUCAUAUUAAUACAAUCAUAACAGUGGGAGGUUCUCCUACUAUUCAAGGUUCAAAAAAAAGACAGCUUCUACCACAAGGUACGCGCUAUAUGAGUAUACCGUUAUGUCAUUUGGUCUGACUAACGCACCUACCUAUUUCAUGAACAUGAUGAACAAGGUGUUUAUGGAGUUUUUGGAUAAGUUCGUCGUGGUGUUCAUUGAUGAUAUUCUGGUCUACUCGAAGAAUGAAGAGGAGCAUAAGGAGCAUUUGUGUUUGGUACUUGGGAAGCUCAGAGAACAUCAGUUAUAUGCCAAGUUCAGUAAGUGUGAGUUUUGGUUGAAUGAAUUUGGAUUCCUCGGACAUGUUAUAUCCGGAGAAGGAAUAGCAGUAGACCCCACCAAGGUUGUCACUGUGAUAAAUUGGGAAGCACCCACGUCAGUUGGAGAGAUCCAGAGUUUCCUUGGACUCGCAGGAUACUACAGGAGGUUCAUUGAGAAUUUCUCGAAGAUUGCAAAGCCCAUGAUGGAGUUGUUGAAGAAGGACACUAAGUUGAAAUUUACUGAGGAAUGUGAGGCCAGUUUUCAGGAGUUGAAGAAACGUACAGCCCCAGUGUUGAUUCUUCCAGAUCAACACAAGGAUUAUCAAGUGUAUUGCGACGCUUCUCGUCGAGGACUUCGAGCAGUGCUUAUGCAGGAGGGAAGAGUUGUUUCAUAUGCCUCACGAUAGCUUAAACCCCAUGAGUUUAAUUAUGCUACACAUGAUUUGGAGUUAGCAGCCGUAGUGCAUGCAUUGAAGACAUGGAGACAUUUUCUCAUCGGAAACCACUGUGAGGUGUAAACGGAUCACAAGAGUUUGAAGUAUAUCUUCAUGCAGAAGGAGUAGAAUCUCAGGCAGAGGAGAUGGUUGGAGCUCAUCAAGGAUUAUGAUAUGAGGUUGCACUAUCAUCCCGGAAAAGCUAAUGUAGUAGCCGAUGCGUUGAGUCGCAAGAGUCAUGUUAAUACACUCAUGACCGGAGGAUUACCCAAGGAGUUAGCAGAGGAUCUUCACGAGCUAUGUUUGGAGAUAGUCCCGAGAGGCUAUGUAGCAGCAUUGGAAAUUCAGUCUACCUUGAUGGAUAAGAUCAGAGAAGCUCAGAAGACGGACAAGGAGAUUGCAGAGAUAAAGGAAAGGAUGAGCAAAGGAAAGGCUAAAGGAUUUUGUGAGGAUGAGCACGAUACCAUAUGGUUUGAGGGCCGCGUAUAUGUGCCUAAUGACCCCGAGAUCAGGAAGUUGAUUUUGCAGGAGGCCCAUGAUUCGCCGUAUUCGAUUCACCCAGGAAAUACCAAGAUGUAUCUGGAUUUGAAGGACAGUGUCUGGUGGACCGGAAUGAAGAAGGAUAUUGCGGAGUAUGUAGAAGUUUGUGAUGUAUGUCAGAGAGUGAAGGCAGAGCAUCCGAAACCAGCCGGUUUGUUACAACCAUUGCCGAUACCCGAAUGGAAGUGGGAUAAGCUAGGCAUGGAUUUUAUCAUGGGAUUGCCUAGAACUCGCUCAGGCUAUGACUCGAUAUUGGUUGUAGUCAAUCGUUUGAUGAAGGUAGCUCAUUUCAUCCUAGUGAAGACCACUUACAUCAGUGAUAAGUUGGCCAAGAUAUACAUGACUAGGAUCGUAUGUCUGCAUGGAGUUUCGAGGACCAUUGUAUCAGAUAGAGGAACCCAGUUUACCUCAAAGUUUUGGAAUCAGUUGCAUGAGACUUUGGAUACCAGGCUAGAGUUUAGUACAGCCUUUCAUCCACAGACAGAUGGAUAGACCGAGAGAGUCAAUCAGAUUCUGGAGGACAUGUUGAGAGCUUGUGCGCUAGAUUAUGGAUCUAGUUGGGAUGACAAUUUGCCGUAUGCAGAAUUCUCUUAUAACAACAGCUAUCAAGCCAGUUUGAAGAUGGCCCCUUUCGAAGCCUUGUAUGGAAGGAGGUGCAGGACACUAUUACUAUGGGAUGAAGUUGGAGACCAUCAGUUGUUCGGACCAAAUUUGAUUAAGGAGUCUGAAGAGAAGGUUAAGUUGAUUCGUGAUAGACUCAAGGUAGCCCAGUCCAGGCAGAAGAGCUAUGCAGAUUCUAAAUGCAAGGAGAUAGUUUACGAAGUCGGAGACAGAGUUUAUCUUCGAGUGUCCCCACUUCGAGGAGUUAAGCGUUUUGGAGUUAAGGGAAAGUUAGCACCACGUUUUGUGGGACCAUACAAAGUUUUGGAAUGUAUGUGAGAAGUUGCUUACAAGCUGGAAUUGCCAGAAGGAUUGUCAGGAGUUCACGAUGUGUUCCAUGUUUCCCAGUUAAAGAAGUGCCACGCAGAGAUGGGCGAUAUUCCUCUAAGAGAUCAGUGCCACUGAAAGUGAUUCAGUUGUAUAGCGAUUUGACCUACGAGGAGAAGCCAGUGAAGAUUCUCGAGUUUGCCAGCCGAGUCAUGCGCAGCAAGGUUAUCAAGUUCUGCAAAGUUCAGUGGAGCCACCAUACCGAGGAUGAAGCCACCUGGGAGCUAGAGGAAGACCUACGGAAGGACCACCCACACCUAUUUUCUAGCCAACCCGAAUCUUGAGGGCGAGAUUCAUCUUAAGGGGGAUAGGUUUGUAACAUCCCAAAUUUCCAAUUUGGAAUGUUAUACAUUAGAUCAUCAUUGCGUAUCACAUUUUAUUGCAUUUUUGGUUGAUCCUAGAAAUUCUACGCAACUCAAGGACCCACGAAGAGAGUUGGGGAUUUCGUUAUUUUCAUAUUUGAGUUUUCUCAAAUUUUGAAAAGAGGAUCAUUUGGUUUUAAUUAUUUUUCUCUCUGAAUAUUUCAUAUAUGAAAAUAAAGAGAGGGGAUAAAAUGACUUCCCCAAAAUAAAUAAAUAUUGGAGGUUAAAUAUUAAAAUCAAAUAAGAAUUUUAUUCGGAGUUUUAUCGCUAUUUUAUUUGAAUUAGGAAAAAAAUGCGUUUUUAAAAAUUGCAUUAGAGGCCCAUAUAAAUGUUCACCUUGUCCGCUAUAUUUUUAGAGGACGGGGAAAAUUUAUUUCAGAAUUUUUGGAGUCUGUUUAGUAUUUCUUUUAUUUGGUUUUUGCGCGUCGGAAUUAUUUAAAAAGGAAAAAAAGAAAUGAAAAGAAACCGACCUACCGGGCCGUGUCCGUCUGGGACACCGACCCGGCCGGCCUCUUAUAAGCCGCCGCUGCCAGCCCGCUGCCCCCGAAACCCUAGCCGCCACCCCGCAUCAAUCCGUGCGCCGCCUUGCCGCCGCUGCCGCGCGAGUCCACCGCCGCCGCCUCCCGCUGCGAUGCCACCGCCCCGCGGAGCCGCAGCUGUCCGCCGCCGCCGCCCCGUAGCCCCACACCACCGACCCCGCUGCCAGAGAGCCGCUGCCGCCACCAACCCCGCCGCUGACGAGGUAGCCGCAGCCGUCGCCGGGUUUCGUCAGAAAACCGCCCGGGUUUUUUCGAAAACCCUAGGGUUUUUUUGUAGAUCGGUUUUAUUUUUUUUCCUGUUUAGUUAAUUAACGGACGUUCAUCCGCACGUUUGUUUUAACGAACGGUGUUCAACCGUUAGCCGCUGAUAGCGAACGUUCGUUCGUUAGCCUGUUCAUCAGUUUUUCUUUUUCCAGGGUUUUUCCGCUAUUAUUUUCGAUUGUGAUUUCUGCCCUGAUCUUUGUUUUAGUUUAUCUUUUCGCUCGUUUAUCAGAAUCAGGCGAUUCAAGCACCUAAAUCUUCGUCUUGAAGCCCUCUUUCUGUUUAACCAACUUGAACAAGAUUUUGGUAUUGUAAAAUUUGACUUUAGUCCAGAUUAGUAAACGGAUCUUGUUUCUUUCGCAGUUUGAGUAUCGUUGCUUCGUUUGAUUUGAUUCUUUUUGCAAACCGGAGUUCUUUAGUUGAACUUUCUGGUUAGAUCUCUUAUUUUAGUUUUACCCGUGCUUCUAGUUAAGUGCUUAUGUAUGUUAUUGUUUGUUUACGAUAGAGUACCCGGAGUGCGAAGCGUGCUACUACGAGUCUCUAGGUUUUGCGGAUCAUCAGCAAGGCAAGUAACACUUUGAUCAUACCUCUUUACUACCCAGUUUUUAUUGCAUUAGAUCAACCCUCAAACAUUGCAUGGUUAGGAUCUGUUUAACAUCUGGGUUUUGGGAAGUAGAUGGUGAGGUAGUACCUAUUGCCCUGUUUAUUAUCAAACCUUUGGGAGUUACUUUUACGUGAUGCUUAUAUGCUAUGAUAUGCUUGUAGACGUGGUUUGGGUGAGUGUAUCCAUGAUAGAUGUGAGUAUUGUUAAUUAAUGGUUAACUUAAGGUGGCUACUUAAAUACACAUCUGGGUGGAUUGCUUGAGGCACCCUGGAGUACCCAGUGGUUGUUAGGGCACCUGCAGAAUCCAGUGUUGUCCUAGGAUAUCCCGGAGUACCCGUGUGAUCAUCCUACGGUCCGCCACCCAGGCUCAAAGGGAUCAUAAGAUUAUUCAUGAUAGAAACUUCCGUGUGCAGCCAAAAGCCAAUAUGGGCUCUGGCAUAGUUGAGUAAGUUGCGUGAAGCUCUUGAAGAGGUAGACUAGCAGAUGUAGUGGGUUGUAGGUGGUACUGUCUACCCAGAGUAGAGAGUUAAUGCUUCAGAAAGACUGUGUCUCGAAUCUCCGACCAUGGAUGUGUUCGAGUCUUGUGGGGAAAAGUGUGCAAACCUCUGCAGAGUGUACAAACUAAUCAUGGUUAGCCGUGUCCCCGAUUAUGGACAUCUUGAGUAUCUGGUUCUUGGAUUAUCAUGUUGAUCUCAUCACUCUAAAUUAAUUUGAUUUGGUUUAAUGAUGAUGCUUAAUUGGGAUUGAGUUGGAGGAAUCUUCUCAAUGUUUAACAACCACCAUGAUAGUUAAAUAAAAUUUAUUCCUUUGUUAUAGGGAAAAAUUGGCUUUAUGCAUAACUGUAACCAUAGAGCUUUCCACCACCCAUAUAUGCAUGUAGUGAUAGCAUUCAUUCUGUUCAUUAAUCUAUGUGUUACUUUGCCAGCAUAUUCCAUGUGCUGACCCAUUUCAGGCUGCAAUGUUUCAUGUUGCAGACUUUUCAGACGACGAGUAAGGUGCCAUAGAUCGUUGUCUUUCACUCAGCUAUGCCGUUGGAGUUGAUGGACUCGCUUUAUCUUCCAAUCCUUCCACUGUUAUCGUUUUUAGAUGGCCUUAAGCCAUAUUAUUGUAAUAAGUUCUCUUUUGAGACAUUCGAUGUAAUAAGUGUGUGAUUGAAACCCUGUUAUAAAUCCUCAAGUACUGUGCGUGUUAGUAUUACCGAUCCAGGGAUGACACUUAUGCACAGAGACUACACUGUUUGGGGUUUGGUCGCUACACAUGUCCCUUCCUUGGCUUAUCAUAUACAUCUAUAUCAUCCUCAAGCUCUUCUGGGGCAUUUAUCAGCUUUGCCCACUCAGCCACAGUUGAUUGGUACCUAGUAGCCUCUAUCAUUCACACAAUUUUACCAUCAGGGUAAAAAUGUGCUGUGGAGUAAAACUGCAUGAUCAACUCAUCAUUCCAUUUUGUUAACUUCUGGCUAACAAAUGCAUCAACUCAUGUUGAUCUGAAGCUUUCAUGGACUCCUGGGAAGUGAUCUUCAUUGUUGUCAAUGUACUCCCAGUCGACCCAUCUCAUGUCACUUACUAUUAGCUUCUUGUCAAGCAGCAUAGUCUCAUAGAAGUCUUGUUGUUCCUUUGUGUGGAACCUGUAGUCAAUAGUUGUUCUCCUUCUAAUGGCAUAUGGGUCAUUCUUCCUCCAUAGCCUGAUACCUGCAUCCUUCUUGAGCUUCGUGUUUUUAGCAAUAGGGUGAGUGUCAUCGUGAUCAGGAAUCUUGAGCUUCAACUUUCUGAGAACUUGCUCUUCUCCUCCUCCUCCUCCUCCUCCUCCUCCUNNNNNNNNNNNNNNNNNNNNNNNNNNNNNNNNNNNNNNNNNNNNNNNNNNNNNNNNNNNNNNNNNNNNNNNNNNNNNNNNNNNNNNNNNNNNNNNNNNNNNNNNNNNNNNNNNNNNNNNNNNNNNNNNNNNNNNNNNNNNNNNNNNNNNNNNNNNNNNNNNNNNNNNNNNNNNNNNNNNNNNNNNNNNNNNNNNNNNNNNNNNNNNNNNNNNNNNNNNNNNNNNNNNNNNNNNNNNNNNNNNNNNNNNNNNNNNNNNNNNNNNNNNNNNNNNNNNNNNNNNNNNNNNNNNNNNNNNNNNNNNNNNNNNNNNNNNNNNNNNNNNNNNNNNNNNNNNNNNNUUCUUGUUCUUCUUCUCCUUCUUCUUCUUCUUCUUCUUCCAUUUCAGGCACUGGAGCCUUGUUCUUCUCAGCAGCUGAUAUGUUUCUGGUGGAUCUCUUUGGGGCUUGAGCAGCAGCCUUGGGGCCAGAUUUGGUAUUUGAAGGAGCAGACCCUGAUCUGAUUGCAUCCCCCAUUAGCUUCUGAGAUUUGGCAGGAGGUGCAUCUUGCUCUUCAUCUUCAGUUGGGUCUCUGAUCAUUGAAGAUCUCCCAAUGACUCUGGCCAUUGUCUUCUUGACCCUCUCCUUCCUCUUCUUGCCCUCACCAGCCUCUUUGGGUUCAAGAGUGAACACCAUGGUUUCUUGGGUUGAGGCUCUGGCUUUGGACAUGGGAACUCUUUUUGCAGGAGCUUUUGUCUUCAACCCUGACUUGAGAUUAGUCGUAGUGCAAGUUUCCUUCUUGUUUCCUUUCCUCUUGGAAGAGACUGCCUCAUCAAUCACAAAAUCUUCAUCCUCAGAAUCAGAUGUCUUCUUCUUCAUCAGCUUAGUUGCAGCUUUGGGCAGGUUACUGGGAGUGCUUCUUCUCCCAUCAUCAGAACUACUCUUAGAGGGACUAGUGCCCUCACUCAUCUGAACUUGUUCUUCAGACAUAUUCUGGCUGUCACUGUUGUUAGACAUGCUGCAAGUAGAAAGCUGGCCCUGUGAAUAGAUAUAGAUGAGAUAGAGUGGAUGAGCAUUACAACAUGCAGAGAUUUUGCAAAACAAAUGAGCCAAAAACUUAGUUUUAGUUUUCUACUAAAGUCAUUUCGGAGCUACCGAUUUGCUGAACUUGGUGACACCGAAGCAACAUUCAGUGUCUAAACUAGUGAACUCGAUUAGGUCGAGGCACAGUUUGGUGACACCGAUAUUGCUAGGGUUUCACAAAGUUCUGAAAUUGGUCAAACCGAUUUGCGAAUUUUGGACAGACCAAAAAUCACAGUGCGAUGGCCUAGGCCAAAUCGGUGGGACCAAUUUCUACAACUCGGUCGGUCCGAGAUGAAAUCGGCGGAAACCUAACCCUAAAUUUUCAAACCAAAACUAAUCUAAAGGAAGUUUUGCUAGAUAGAAUAGUUUCAAUCGUGGCAAGAAUCAUGGCAUUAUCUUUGUGCUAAGAAUCGGAUUGAGAAAGCACAAAGGAUCAAACUCAUACCCUAACUUGGCGGUGAGUUUGCUACAACGACAACGACGGAGGAGAUCCCAUUGACGGCGGUAGAGACUAGCGGCAGGAGGAUGCUGGCGAUGAAGGCGACGAUCCGGAGACCUCGAGUCAGCAGAGCUCGACAGCGCGGGCAAAGAGUUUUGGAGGAAUUUCCAAAAUUUCAACCCGUGAGUAUAUAUAUCCAGACCCUGUCGGUGAGACCGGGUGGAACAACUCGGUGGCACCGAGAUGCAGAAUCACAAGUGGUUACUGGAACUCAGUGAGACCUAAGUGUUCAAAUCGGUUGCACCGAGAUUGAAACCUAGAUCAACUUAAUGAACUCGGUGUGACCGAAAGGAAUGAAUCAGUCAGACCGAGAUGCAUCAAGAGGUUUUGGAAGUUUAAGUCUAUGAGGAAUCAGUGGCUCUGAGUGCUCCUCACCCAGAGGGUUUGAAUCUGACUUGAUCAAACUUUGUGAUGUAGCAUGAAUAUAGUAUGAGAUGAGAAAAGCAUAGAUAUCUAGAGGGAGUACUUAGGCAUUAUUGUCCAUCCAUUUGGCAAAAGAAAAGCCCAAACAAUCAAAACAACAAAUGGAUGUCCUCGAAUGAAGAAAAUUCUGCAAUCGACAUGCUCACACAAUAAGAUAGCAAAUGAAAUAUGUGGCAAACAUGCACAAACACUCUAGCAUCUAUCAAGCAAUUGGCGAUGACUAGGUCAUCUAUAUAUAAGUAUAUUGACUUAGGAGUCAAAUGAGAACAUUUGAUCAUAGGUCAUACUCAUUGUUUAAGCACAAGUGGGGUUACCACUUUUACAUAAAGCAUUGCUGUGUUCACGUCAUUGGAGUUGCUUUAGCUCAAUUCUUAGAGUAAAUAUCCCCGUAUAUGUGAUAUCCCCUUUUAGAGGGAUGAACUAACCUUGGGUUUUGUCGAUGAUGACGUCAUGUAGAUGUUGAAGAUAUGGAUGCUCAAUGUUGAUGUAGAUCAUUUGGAGCAAUCCAUUGGAGUGAGUUGCACUUUCAAUACCUACAUGGGUUAGUCCCACAAGGAACAAACAAGGAUAUCCAUAGACAUAGAGUGAAGCACACACAUGAUUAUGUCCAUGAAAGCAUUAGGUUAUCUUGUCCCUUGACUUACUAUCAAGAGGGUUUGUGACUCCUUGAACUAGUGCAAGAUGUGGAAGUUGAUUGCACUUGUUCUUGCCAAUAUGAAUAUGAGUGAAGUAUGUUGGCGGAGUCACCCUCAAGAACUAUCUAGUUCUUCUUCUUCGGGAUCCACAUCAUCUUGAUGGGAAUCCUUAGGGUUGUAGAUGUACUUGAUGAAGUUGAACUUGAGUUAGAGAUGGGAACCCACUUGACCAAGGCCUUUGGAGCAUCUUCAAAUGCAUCAAUAUCCUCUUGAAGCUUGUCCUUGCCUUUUUGCUUGUGGUCUUGUGGUGGAAGAUCAUCUUGAGCGUGUGUCCCCUUGAAGGAAGUAGGAUCAUACUUGUCUUAUUGAGGAACAAACUUUUUCUUGGGGUAUUGAUCUUCUUCCCACUCAACUCCAUUGGCAUUGAAGUUUUGUUCAAAACCAACACCUUGAUUCUUCCGGUGCCUUCCUUGCUUGCAUACAAUUUCCUCAAAUUGAUUACUUCCGGCAAGGCUCUUGUAAACACAUUUCUCUAUAAUUCCCUUCAAUAAGCUAUUGUCUUGCUCAAGUGUAACUUGGCUAAGAGAAUCAUUAGUGGAAUCAAGAGAACUACUAGAAGCAACAAUAUUGGAUUUAGCAUGAUUAUUGUUACUGCUAGAAGAAGAAUUUUUCUUACUCUUGUUGCUAGAUUUUACUUAUGGCAUGCAAGUAGACAAGAGUAAACGCUUGGCAAUGUAAGAAGAACUUUUCUUCCAAAGAUCAUCAUUGAUGGAUUUUAAGAACCCAUGUUCUUGCUCUAGGUUUAGCUUCUCGAAGCAUAGCUUAUCAUGAGUUCUUAAAAGUUCUCGAUGAUCUUUUAAAGUAGUUUCAUGAGCUAACUUAAGAGUGUUUAGUUCUUUAGUUAGACGCUCAAUCUACUUCUUAUCAUUGUCAUUCGUUUCAUCUUGAUUAGCAUGAUUAAUAGCAAUUUCAUCAUAGUUUUCAUCACUAGCAUUUUCAACAAGUAAAUCAUCAUCACCUAGCAAGUCAUCUUCAUCACUAUUGAAAUCAAAAUACUCGGGAUGUGAUACCUUGGGGCCUUUAGCCAUGAAGCAUCUUCCAAUUCCUUCAUUUAGUGACUCAAAUAUGUCAUAGGAGUUGGUUGACACAAGUGCAAGACCGGCAACACCUUCAUCUUGAGUAUAUUCAGAGUUCGAGUGAUAACUUCUCUCGGAGUGGUGGUCGGAGUAAAAACCGGAUACCCAUUCACCAACAUGAUCUUGAUGUCUUCAUUUUGUGUAGAUCUUUGAUGACUUGUCCUUCCUUUCCGAAUCCUUGCUUCUGCAAGAGGUUCUUUGUUCAUAACGAUCAUCUCUACUCCUUCUCUCUCUUGUAGGUGAUUCUUCUCUUCUACUUCUUCUUUUAGGUGAGUCUUCUCUUCUUUUGUAGGGAAUCGUACACUCAUUGGAGUAGUGUCCGGGUCUUCCACAAUUGUAGAAAUUUUGCUCACGACUAGAAGAUCUUUUGUCAUGGUAGGAUCUUGACUUGGAGCUUCUUUCUUUGCUUCUACUCUUGUAGAAUUUGUUGAAGUUCUUCACCAUUAAGCUCAAUUCCUCAUUUAAGACUUGUUUUUUACUUGAUGUUGCAGGAUCAUCACAUGAGGCUUUAUAUGCACCACUAGACUUGUUGUGAAGCUCUUCUUUAUCCUUGAGUGACAUUUCAUGAGCAACAAUUCAUCCAAUGACUUCUGUUGGCUUGAGAUCUUUGUAGUUGGGCAUCAUUUGGAUCAAUGUGCACACGGUAUCAUAUUUUCCCUCCAAGGCGCUUAGGAUCUUCUUGAUGAUGAAUCUAUCAGUCAUCUCUUCACUUCCUAAGUCGACAAUCUCAUUUGUGAUGAGAGCAAGCCUAGAGUACAUUUCAGCGACACCUUCACCAUCCUUCAUUUUGAACUUGUCAAGUUGACUUUGAAGCAUAUCCAACUUGGAUUCCUUGACGGACUCGGUACCUUCAUGCAUAUCAACCAAAGUAUCCCAAAUUUCCUUUGCAUUCUCAAGAGGUUGAUUUUGUUGAAUUCUUCAGGGCACAAUCCAUUGAAGAGGAUAUCGCAACCUUGAGCAUUGUACUGCAGCAUCUUCAACUCUUCCGCAGUUGCUUCACGAUUUGGUUCUCUCCCAUCAAAUAAUUCACCUUGCAAACCAAUGCACACAAUAUCCCAAACAGCGGGGUUAUGUCCAAGAAUAUGCAUUUUCAUCUUAUGCUUCCAACUAGCAAAAUUAGUACCAUCAAAGUAAGGACCUCUACGGUGGUAAUUUCCCUCGCUAGAUGCCAUACUCUCCUAGGUUGUGAAACCAAGGCUAUGAUCACCAAAGCUAUGGAAAUCAAGGCAAAUGGAGACCAAAGCUCUGAUACCACUUGUAGGAUUGAAAGUAUGUCUAGAGGGGGGUGAUUAGACUACUUGACCAAAUAAAAAAUCUAGCCUUUUCCUAGUUUUAUAUCUUGGCAGAUUUUAGCAACUUAACACAAGUCAAGCAAUCAACCUACACAUGCAAUUCUAAGAGUAUAGCAGCGGAAUGUAAAUAAUUGCAUAUGAAGGUAAAGGGAGGAGCUUGGAGGGAGCAAACACAAUGUAGACACAGAGAUUUUUGGCGUGGUUCCGAUAGGUGGUGCUAUCGUACAUCCAUGUUGAUGGAGACUUCGACCCAUGAAGGGUAACGGCUGCGCGAGUCCACGGAGGGCUCCACCCAUGAAGGGUCCACGAAGAAGCAACCUUGUCUUUCCCACCAUGGCCAUCGCCCAUGAAGGACUUGCCUGACUAGGGUAGAUCUUCAUGAAGUAGGCGAUCUCCUUGCCCUUACAAACUCCUUGGUUCAACUCCAAAAUCUUGACGGAGGCUCCCAAGUGACACCUAACCAAUCUAGGAGACACUACUCUCUAAAAGGUAAUAGAUGGUGUGUUGAUGAUGAACUCCUUGCUCUUUUGCUUCAAAUGAUAGUCUCCCCAACACUCAACUCUCUCUCACACACACACACAGAUUUGGCUAUGGUGGAAAGAUGAUUUGAGUGGAAAGCAACUUGGGGAAGGCUAGAGAUCAAGAUUCUUGUGGUUGGAUUGUAAUGUCUUGGUCUCAACACAUGAGUAAGUGGUUCUCUCUCAGAAAAUGAGUAGUGGAAGUGUAGGCAUGUUCUGAUGGCUCUCUCAUAGAUGGAGAAGGGGGUGGAGGGGUAUAUAUAGCCUCCACACAAAAUCUAACCGUCACACAGAAAUUCCCAAACUCGGUGGGACCGAAUGGUUAAACUCGGUCAGACCGACUUGGUUCAAAAUGUGAACGUUAGGCAUUUCGGUGGGACCGACAACAUCAACUCGGUGAGACCGAUGCGCUAGGGUUAGGGCAAAACCUUAUCUCGAUGAGACCGAUCACAUGAACUCGGUGAGACCGAUUUCAGUAAUAAGCAAACAGAGACUUGGUUAGGCAAACUCGAUGGGACCGAUCGCUCAUCUCGGUAAGACUGAAACGUUACAAAAAGGAAACAGAGAGUUUGCAAUGCCAACUUGAUGGGACCGAUCGCUCACUUCGGUUAGACCGAAACGUUACAAAGGGAAACAAAGAGUUUGCAUUCCCAUCUCGGUGAAAUCAAACUGAUUAGGGUUUGUGGAUAUGGCUAUGUCAAGUGAACUCGGUGGCGCCGGAUGAAUCAAAUCGGUAGGGCCGAGUUUGACUUUAGGUUUAGGACAUAUGUGGAAAUGAGAAAGUGAUUGAGGGAUUUUGGAGCAUAUCACUAAGCAUUUUGAGCAAGCAAGCCAUUAAGCAACACCUCAUCCCCUUUUAAUAGUAUUGGCUUUCCUAUAGACUCAAUGUGAUCUUGGAUCACUAAAAUGAAAAUGUAGAGUCUUGAGCUUUUACCAAUAUGUGUCCUUAGCAUUUUGACAUCUCUUGUCCAUGCCAUACCAAUCAUUCAACUUUCUGAAACAUUGAUCUUGAAAGAGUAUUAGUUCAAUGAGCUAUAUGUUGUUAUGAAUUACCAAAACCACCCGGGAAUAAUUGCACUUUCAGCGCAGAAUUACAAAGGACGAUUGGCCCAUGACCCCUUCUCAUUUAGGAUGUAGACCGAUGUGUGACCUCUCUGUUGAGCCUAGGUAGGACUACGACGUGUUAAUCGGCCGAGGCCAAUCAUGACCUGAUGGUGUGUUCAGCCGGAGUUGAUCGAGCGUGUUGGGUAAGUUUGUGCACCCCUGCAGGGCAGUAUUAUCUAUUCGAAUAGCCAGGUCCACGGUAAUGGACGCUCGGAGUUGUAUGCCGAUCGAUACAACUAGAGCUGGAUGCUAAGGCAUGAGAUGGAUAUGAUGGCUCCGGGAUUGCUUUCUCGCAGGGAGUCGAGGAAGGAUCUUUGGGUGCUAAUGUUACAACAUGUUUGCUAAAUAUAAACUGCUAUUCUUUACUCUUCUGAAUGCUGCAAGAUGCUUGGAGCUGCUUGAAGAUGCUAGUCUUCGAUAGGCUAGACUUUCCCCUUCUCUUCUGGCAUUCUGUAGUUCAGUCCACAGAUACUACCCAUUUCAUUGAUGCCGAUGCAUAUGUAGUGUAGAUCCUUGCUUGCGAGUACUUUGGAUGAGUACUCAUGGUUGCUUUGCUUUAUCAUUUCCCCCUUUUCCUUUCUUCUCGGAUGUCGCAGCCAGAUGGUGGAGCCCAAGAGACAGACGCCACCUUCGACGACUACUACUAUUACACCGAGGGUGCCUACUACUAUAUGGAGGCCGCCGACGACCAGGAGUAGUUAGGAGGCUCCCAGGCAGGAGGCCUUGCCUCUUGGAUCGUUGUUGCUUUUGUGCUAACCUUCUUAAGGAAUACUUGUUCAACUUAUGUCUGUACUCAGGUAUUGUUGCUUCUGCUGACUCUUGUGUAUUCGAGCCCUCGACGCCCAUGUCUUGUAAUAUAAGGCUUGUAUUAUUUUAAUUUGUGUUUAGAGUUGUGUUGUGAUAUCUUCCCGUGAGUCCUUGAUCUUGAUCUUACACAUUUGUGUGUAUGAUUAGUGUACGAUUGAAUCGAGGGCGUCACAUUGACCACAAGACAAUCAUUGCAGCUCUGCAGACCAGGGGUUUUGGAGAUAGAUGGAUUAAGUGGAUGAACAUGAUCUUAUCCUCUGAUACUUCUUCAUUCUUUCUCAAUGGUGUUCCUGGCAAGGUAUUUCAUGCAAAAAGGAGUCAGACAAGGAGACCCCUCUCUCCUAUAUUGUUUUUUAUAUCAACUGAUAUCUUGCAAUCAAUUCUAAAUGAAGCCAUGCAUUAGAAUUUAAUAUGGACACCCAUUGCUAGUCAAGCCUUCCCUUACUUUCCAGUCAUUCAAUAUACAUAUGAGACCAUCCUAGUGCUACCUGCAGAUCCCAUGCAACUGUCACAAAUCAAGAAUCUCAUCAUGCACUAUUCUGUAUUCACUGGGUUGAAAGUUAAGUACGAUAAAUCCUUUUUGUUGCCAAUCAAUGUGCCUGAACAUCACAUACCUUGCUUACUCAAUAUUUUGGGAUGCAAGCAAGGGCGGUUCCCUUUCACAUAUCUUGGCCUGCCACUAAGUACUUCCAAAACAAAAAUAGAGGACUUCAACCCAAUGAUGUAAAGAAUUAAAAGAAGACUAUUUGGGUGCUCAACACUGCUCUCAUAUGAUGGAAGAAUUCUACUGAUCAAAUCAGUCUUUGCAGCUUUGCCAAUAUUUUUCAUGUGCACCUUGCACUCCCCAUUGGUGUUAUUGAAAAGAUAAACAAGUAUUUGGGGAAUUUCUUGUGGAGAAAAUUUGGAAUGGAAAAUAGGGGCACAACACUGAUUGCUUGGUCAAAGGUUUGUCAACCAAAGCAGCAUGGGGGACUUGGAAUUUUGGAUACUGCACUUCACAACAAAUCUCUUCUCAUGAAAAAUCUAUAUAAGUUUCUCAACAAAGAUGACAUCCCAUGGAUCAAAUUAAUUUGGGAAAAAUAUUAUCAUACAACUGCACCCAUGGGAAAACCGGAAGGCUCUUUUUGGUGGAAGGCCCAUGUUACCCUUUUGAAUAAUAUUAAAUCACUUAGGAGCUGCAUAAUAGGGUCUGGCGAAACAGUGAUGGUCUGGAAAGACAAAUGGAAGGAUGAAACACUUCAUCAAACAUUCCCUAAACUUCAUUCUUAUGCAAUUGAUGAAACCCAAUCAGUACAAAGGUUCUGUGAAGCACAAGAUUGGACAAAGCACUUCCAUCUACCAAUGUCCAUUGAAGCCUAUGAUCAAUUCAAUCAACUAGGAGAACUUAUUCCUUAGAUACACCAAGACAUAAAAGACAAAUGGACCUGCAAUGGACUAGCAAACAUUUUCUCAUCAAUUCAAAUGUAUAUGAAGAUGCUUGGAAGCAAGGAUGUGGGCUAGCUCCAGUAGAUUGAAUUACAAAAUAUUCUCCUGGUUGGUGGCACACUGUAGGAUCAAUACCAGAUCACUUCUCCAGAGGAAAGGAAUGCACCUAGACAAUCCUUACUGUCCUAAUUGCAAUUAGAGGGCAGAAGGGACAACUAUGCAUCUUUUAUGGGAUUUAAACUUUGCACAAGAUUGCUGGAACUCAUUUAUACCAAGUAGAAAGAGAGGUACAUCUAUGUGAGGACUAACCUUUGCUAUGGAACUCCUUCCAAAACAAUUAGCAUCAGAGAUUGUUAUACUAGGAUGUUGGCAUGUAUGGCUUAAGAGAAUGGCAAAUUUUCAGAGCUCAGACACAGUCAAUUCAAGCAUGGAGGUUCUAUUUGAAGCAAGAUUUGAAACUCCUAAGAUUCAAGAUUAAGGAUAAUUAUGAACAAAGUUUCUCCUAGUGGUUAGACAAUGACUUAUAAAGCCAUGACUCUAUACCUAGAACAUGCAUUGGCUAGAUCCUGACUUGAUCUUUGGCCUUCUUUUGGGUGUUUUGUUUUCACUUCUUUGUAAUAUAUUUUGAUUAAUAUAUAUAUAUACAUAUAUAUAUAUAUAUAUAUAUAUAUAUAUAUAUAUAUAAUAUCGUAGAACUAUUGCUCUACGGGUUGGGGGUAAAAAACUCUUUUAGGGUUGAAAUAUGCACUUCUCUUUUCUUUUUAUCCUCGUCGGCUUGCCAUACAAGCGAUGCCCUAUAAAAGUCAGCAUUCUUUCUAACACCCGCAGAAAUGGGUAUAGAGGCAUCAUAAACAUAUGCAUAUUAGUUUGGCGGGAUUGCGCCAAAGUCACGCUACCAACAAUGUUUAAAAGUCUUACUUACUGACGGGCACAUCGUUUCUCAAUUUUUAAGUAACCACCUUGCAAUGAUUAUUCCUAAUUCAAAUGUCAGAGACAUGCAUCACCAAAUAUUUCAAAGGAACAACACCUAGUUUGCAAGUGGAAAUCUCUUGAUAUAUGGGAGCUUUAUUAACUGACUCCCUAAAAAAACACUCAUGAAAAUUAAUAGUGAGACCACAUAUUUGCUCAAACAUACUUAUAAUAAACUUGAGAUUCCUAGCACUAUCCUCAUCAUCUUGUAAUAGGAAAUAGUGCCAUAUGCAUAUUAGUGAAAAAUGACCUUGUAGUUUAAUUUUUCACCCAACACCCCUUUCACAACUCCAUCAUUUCUAGCUCUCUCUCUCCAAAAUAAUGGCAAGGGCAUCAACUGGCAAAUCAAAUAGCAAAGGAGAUAAAGCAUCUAUUUGCCUAAGGCCUUUGUGAUUUUUAAAAUAAGCACCAAUUACAUAAUUUAUUUUGACCCCACAUGCCCUCUCCUCUUAGUGCGCAUAAUUCAAUCAAACCACUGAAUAGGGAAGUUUUUGAGUUUUAGCAUUUGGUGAACAAAAGGCCAUUUAAUCUUAUCACAGGCUUUCUCAAAGUCAGCCUUAAAGAGAAAUGCACUUUGUUUCCUACAAUGUAGUAUGGAGUUCAAAGCUUCAUGUAGUAGAACAACACUUUCCAUUAUGUAUCUACCUUUAAUGAAAGCAUUUGGUUAUGAGCAAUAAUAGGGUUAAUGACCCUACUAAGCCUGUUCAUUAGGACUUUAGUAAUAAUUUUGAAACUAACAUUCAAUAGAAAAUUUGGUCUAUAAUUUGAAUCUUAACAUCUUUAAUUUUGGGAACCAGGGUGAUAAUUCCCUAAUUUAUCCUAGCAAUAUCUAUAACCGCAUUAUGAAAAUUAUCCAUGACCCCUUCCAAAUCCCACUUACCAAUUUUCCCAAAAAUGUUGAUAAAAAUCAACAAGCAACCCAUUAGGUACAUGGCUCUUGUUUUUCUAGAGAGAGAAGACUACAUUGUGUAAUUCCUCUAUGAAGAAAGGUCCCACCAACCUAUUAGCAUCGUGUCUAGAAUUUUUCUGUUCUUCUUGGAUGUUUAAAGAAACAGAGGAGAUCUUAGCUUGUCCAAAAAAAUAUAGAAAUUAGUGAUGUAUUUUAAAAGAUUGUCUUCCCUUUAAUCGUCCCCUCAUCUUGCUCUAAAGAAAUAAUUUUAUUUUUCCUUCUCCUGCCAUUGCCCUUGCCAUGGUAGAAUCUAGUAUACAAUCACCUUGUCUGAUUUCGUUAUCCUUAUAUCUUUGGAGCCAUUUUAACUCUCCUUGUUUUAAAAUUCUCCCUAACUGUUCACUAAGUUUCUUUCAUUCAGUUCUAUCAUGAGUAGUUAAGCCAUUAAUUUAUGCAUUCUUAUCAAUGAAAUCUAACUUGGAUAUGUUUUUUUUUAUUUUUCUAUACCAUGUACCAACAUUUAAGUUUCAGCCCCUAAUCUUCUUCCAAAGAAUUCUCAACCUAUUUUUCCACCUCUGAAUAUUAGAACUUUCAUAAUUAUUGGUCUAAAUUUUGGUGACGAAGUCCUUAAAACCAUCUCUCAGCAUCCAAUAAUUUUUAAAUCUAAAAAUUGGCUUUGAAAUAUUAUGAGACCCAGUCUCAAGAAUGAGAAGGUUGUUUUAGAAACUUCCCUCUCCAAGGCUUGUACCAUAGCUAAGGGGUAAUAUUCCUCCCAUUCAUGACAAAUUCUAUCUAAUUUCUCAAAGGUUGGUUUAGCCAAAUUAUUGCCCAGGUAAAAUUUCUCCCAUUUAGAGGAAAUUUUCUAAGCUCUGCAUGCUCAAUAAUGACAAUAUAAAACUCCAGUGAUCAGUGAUCAGUUUCAUUGGAUUUCUUUUCUCAUAACUUUUCUAAUAAGAUUAAAAUCCCCACCUACCACACAAGAUAAAAUAUUGUCAUGUUAGACCCUAGACAAUUCUGCCAAUAAGCAGUUUUGCCAUCUAAUUGAACAUCACCAUACACAAUAAUAAGAUUUCAAUGAAAUUUAGCUAUUUUAUCAAGAAACAACAGUUUCACAAAGUAUACCCCUACUUCUACUGUAGUCACAUCAAACAAAUCAUUAUUUACUCCAACGAGGUUCACUUCAGAUUUACCUAUUGGAGCGGACUAGUUCCAAAUAAGAUAAAAAAACUCGAAUGUAAAUAUGGAUAUUCCAUUGGAUCUUUAGUUGAUGAUGUAUUUCCUUUUCAUUCAUCCUAUCCAUGUUUUCUUGAACUUUUAGAGAUUUCACUAUACAAACUACAUUCAGAUGUAUAUAGACGGCUUUUAGAGUUUAUGUCCACUCAUUUUGCUCUGCCUGUAGUCUGUAGUGGAACCUUUAANNNNNNNNNNNNNNNNNNNNNNNNNNNNNNNNNNNNNNNNNNNNNNNNNNNNNNNNNNNNNNNNNNNNNNNNNNNNNNNNNNNNNNNNNNNNNNNNNNNNNNNNNNNNNNNNNNNNNNNNNNNNNNNNNNNNNNNNNNNNNNNNNNNNNNNNNNNNNNNNNNNNNNNNNNNNNNNNNNNNNNNNNNNNNNNNNNNNNNNNNNNNNNNNNNNNNNNNNNNNNNNNNNNNNNNNNNNNNNNNNNNNNNNNNNNNNNNNNNNNNNNNNNNNNNNNNNNNACACUUUCGUCAUCUUAGUAGGAUGGGAGCUUUGGAACCAACGGAACGCGCGCGUGUUUAACAGGCUGCAACAGCAGAGGACCCCAAUAGAGCUGGCGGACGACAUCUUUAGAGAAGUGCAACAAUGGAGACUAGCCGGUGUUGGAGUUGGUGGUUUAAUCCAGUUUGUGAGAGAGUAGCCUAGAGUGUUGGGUUUGGGUGUAAUGGGUGUUGGCCGUGCCUAGAUGCUUACAUCUGCCCCGUGCCUAUCUUGUACAUUUUCUCUCCAUCUUCAAUAAAAAUAUGGUACGUCAUUGGCGUACUUUCGAAAAAAAAAAAUACAUGCAGACGUAAAUUUUUCAGAGAGAGAUUAGAUGAUUUAAUAACGAAGGGAGUAGUUCACAACGAAGCCAAAUAUUGAAGCCGUGUUUUUUACCCUAAAUGCCCCAAGUGGUUGUUUGGAUAUCGAGAAUUAUAAAAAGACAAUUAUGCCCUAAAAUGGAGCCGCUGUUGAAACGCUCUAAUGCUAUAUAAACUUGCAUCCGCAAACGUAGCUAGCUGCGUCUCGCUUUAAUGGUGCGACCGGACGACAGCGCGGGACAACGCAGGCGUCCAAGCAUUGUAGCCCAUACCGGACGUUUCUCGGAUAACUAUGGCCGUGCGCACACAUAUGUGUCCAUGCCCACGCACGCUCGCACAUGUCGUACGCCCCUCCGUAGCCCAGAGAAUUACAUGAGGCACGCGCGGUACAGCAUGGCGAGUCCAUGACGUGCAGUCUCCGACCGGCCGCCGAACACCCGAGCAUGGCGAGUGCUAGAACCAUGAUCCUAGCUACUACGUGCCAACCGGACGACAGCGCGGGACAACGCACGAGUCGCCAGCAUUGGCAGCUCAUCCUCACUUCCUCGGACAACCGUGCGCACCCAAUUCGGGGCCCAUGCGAGCUACCACGUGUCGUCCCUCCAGAGGCUUGCAUGCGCGACGCGCGUCGACAGCAGGAACAGGGAGAGGUACACGCGCACCUCCUCGCCGGCUAUAUAAUGGCGACGCCGAUGGCUCCUCCGCCAUCAGCAUCAGGCAAUCACAAAGCAACAACAGCGGUCACAUACCAAAACCUACGUCCGCUUACGGUUUCCGUUUAGCUAGCUCCCAGGCAGCGAUCGAGCGAUGGCUUCCGGUCAGCAGGAGAGGUCGGAGCUGGACCGCAUGGCCCGCGAGGGGGAGACCGUCGUCCCCGGCGGCACCGGUGGGAAAACCCUCGAGGCGCAGGAGCACCUCGCCGACGGUAUGCUUCCUGUACUUGCGUUUCGCUUGAGCGAUCUGUGACUUCUGGUACUCAAUACUGGCGUUGUUGUGACCGCAUUUGUGCAGGGCGCAGCCGCGGUGGGCAGACUCGGAAGGAGCAGCUGGGGGAGGAGGGAUACCGCGAGAUGGGUCACAAGGGCGGGGAGACUCGCAAGGAGCAGCUGGGGGAGGAGGGGUACCGCGAGAUGGGUCACAAGGGCGGGGAGACUCGCAAGGAGCAGCUCGGGGAGGAGGGGUACCGCGAGAUGGGGCACAAGGGCGGGGAGACUCGCAAGGACCAGCUCGGGGAGGAGGGGUACCGCGAGAUGGGGCGCAAGGGCGGGCUGAGCACCAUGCAGGAGUCCGGUGGCGAGCGCGCCGCCAGGGAGGGCAUCGAGAUCGAUGAGUCCAAGUUCAAGACCAAGUCCUAAAUAAUGUAGGUCAGUGUCUAGCUGAGUAGCUAGCUACUAGUGAGCAAGCUGUCUCCUCAUGUUUGUAGUAAUGAAUAAUGUAGGUCAAGGUCAGGUCUUGACAUGACGAGAGAGCACGCAUGUAGGCGAUCACAUGUACUGUGAUCAUGUGUGCUUUAGGUGUCUUAGCUUGUAGCGGUGACCAUGUGUUCUUCAGGUGUCCUAGUACUUCCUCUGUUCCGAAAUGUAAGUCGUUUAAGGGUUUGACGUGUAAAUUUCGUAACGCUACGAGAAUUUUUCACUUUCCAGAAAUGCCCUCCCACCACCGCUCGCUCUCACCCACUCAAGCUCACUCUCUCGUUCCCCUCUCACCCACCCGGCCACCCCUCUCUCGCUCCCCUCCAGAUCCCCGUCGUCGCCGGCCUCUCCUCGCCAUCGUCACCGCUAAGCCACCCCGCUUCCUCUCUUUCUCCGCACCAUCGAGCCACCCCGUUUCCUCCCACCGCCAGAAAUCCACCACCCGUAGGUCAAAAGCUUGAUUUUUUAGGCGCCGGCGAUGAGCUUCUGGCCGGCGGAGGCGCUGGAUCCGCGUGCUUCGACGCCGGCGACGAAGCGACAUGGAUCCGGGCGGGAUGCUGCUGGAGGACUUCGGGCUGUGGGUGGACCUGGUGCGGCGCAUCCGCGAGGUGCUGGCCAACUACCCGGAGGGCACCACCGCGCUGCGGGACGCCGGGAGCUCAUCCAGAACGCCGACGAUGCCGGGGCCUCGUGCGUCCGCCUCUGCCUCGACCGCCGCGCCCAUGGGUCCCGCUCGCUGCUCGCCCCCGCGCUUGCGCAGUGUACGCCAGCAACGACGCCGCCUUCACCGACGAAGAGUUCGCCAGCAUCCCCCGCAUCGGCGGCCGCAAGAAGUCCUCCCAGGCCUGGAAGACCGGCAGCAAGAUGGGCGCUAGCUACACUCUCUAUCGCUGCUGAGCUCUGCUUCGAGCUGCUGCUCUUUCAAUUUGAGCUGCGCUAGCUAAGCUCUUUCAAUCUGAACCAGUACGUGUUCAUUUUCUACUCGUACGAAUGUUGCUGCUGUUUUGUGUUGUCACCUACGAAUGCUGCUGCUAAUUUGAGUUCUACUGUUAAUUUGAGAACAAUAUGCUUAGCAAGGACCCACUGUUAAUUUGGAGUAGCAACUGUACUCCAUUGAAGUACUGUUACUGUUAAUUUGCAAACUGAAUUUGGAGUAGCAGCAUACUGAAUUUUGUAUACUGAAUUUGGAGUAGCAAUUUGGAGUAUGAAGCAGCUGUAUGGAUUACUGUUAAUUUUGCAUACUGAAUUUGAGUAAAAUGGAGUAGCUCUGUCACUGAAUUUGGUUGGUAAAGAUGCAGUAGCAGUAGGAGUUUUUACUGCACCUAACUAAGGUAGCUGCUGGGGUUAAUUAGUUACCGCGCCUAAUUAAUUAUCAUGUGUAAUCUGAACUGGUGUGUGUACCAAGUGAUGAUGGUUCUUAAGUUUAGCAUGCAUCACCAAGUUAAUUGGGCGCCUAAUUGCCAACUCUUUUGUGUCAGGAACAUAUAUUCAUAAUGGAAUAAAAACAACUUGCCAAGUUCUUUUGUGACUGGAACAUAUUCAGAAUGGAAUAAAAACAACUUGCCAAGUUCUUUUGUGACUGGAACAUAUUCAGAAUUUAUUUCUUCUCCAGUUCAGUUGCUUAAUUUUCUUGGAGUACAUUUGCUUAAUUUGCUUGGAGUACAUUUAACUUGGAGUACUUCAAUACUCCAAGAUUUGCUUAAUUUGUGAACAGGAGUAGUUUUCAGAAUGGAAUGAAAACUAAUGGCAGUACAUUUGCUUAAUUUGCUUUGAGUACAUUUAACUUGGAGUCCUCUCGUACUCCAAGAUUUGCUACUCAAACAAAUUUUGAGUACUUGCACUUGCACACAACACUACUCAGCAAUUUUCAAUUAAUUUUCUUGGAUUACUCCAUCUUGCUCUGUUAGGUUAUCUUGCAUUUUCUGUUAAUUACUCCAUCUUGGAUACUUGGAGCACUGAUGAUGAUUGCUGCUGUUAUGUUAGGACUUGCAAGCAGUAGUUUUAGUACUUUAGUGUAGGACUUGCAACAAGAGGAGAGCUACUGUAGUAUACUCCUCUUGUGCCCUCCAUAUUCUUGAUCUCUUCUUUUCUCUUCUCUCUUCUACAGUAAAUAUGAGCCCUACAAUAAUAUGAUUUGUGACCUUGAAUGUUUUUUUCCAUCAGAUUGUUUUAAAGAAGGGCUAAUGAAAAAAGAUGUGUGAGGGUAUCAGUCAUUCUCAUGCCGGCAUGCUGCACUUUUCAGCUAGCAGGUUGGUAUCUCAACAUUUCUCCAUUCAAGUCAUUUCCCAUAGUGUUUUUUCGAAGCACUAACUGCAGAUUUGCAUACUAAGAAUGGCUGGAGUAUUUUAUUUACAUCAAAUUAUGUCAAACAGUUUAGAUUGUUCAGUCAUACCAUAGUGUUUAAAAUUUUGGACAUUCUGAAGAUUCAAAUAAAAAUAGACAUGUGCACAGUUUACUUGAUCAUGUCAAGUUACAGGUGAAAGUGACCCUCUUAUGGGAAUAAUGAAGUACAGAAAUGAGAUCGAGUUCAAAGUAAGGCUGGGGUAAAAUUUUCAAAGGCCAUGAUGUACUCCUUCCUGAUAUUCAUGCUCCUGAUAUUCCUACUCCUAUUCCUACUCAAUUUUACCUUAAAUGAGAGUAGCAAUUAUUUCUGCCCGUUAAUUCAUACUCCUACUGAUUUGGAGUACUGAUGAAACUAAGUCCAAACCUGUUCUAAAUUGACAGUACUUGUUCAUCUUUUCUAUUGACAGUACCGGUCCAAACCUGUUCUAAAUUGACAGUACUUGUUCAUCUUUUCUAUUGACAGUACCGGUCCAAACCUGUAUUGAUAGUACAUGUUCUACUCAGUGUUCAUCUUUCACUGUUCAGUUUCAGUGUUAAAUUUCAGUAUUACUCCAAGAUUGUACUGCAUGCAAUUAUUCAAGACAAAUGAUUACAACAAGUUUAUGAUCAUCAAAUUGUUUACUCAGAUGCAGAGCGAGUACUGGGCGAGGAGAUGAACCUAGGCGAGCAAAAUUGAGAACUCCGGCUGGAGCAGCUCCUGUCCAGCGGCGAGGACUUCAGCGGCAGCAGCACCUGUGCGUGGGGAGGAACAACACCUGGGCGCGUGCAGGCGGCAGCUCGCCUCCAACAGUGGGCGGCAGCAGAGCACCAGCUCGCCACCACCAGGGGCCGGCAGCAGAGCACCAGCUCGCCUCCACCAGCGGGCGGCAGCAGAGCACCACCUGGGCACGCGCGGGCCAGGAGGGGCCCCUGGGCGUGGGAGAGGAGGAGCGCCUGGGCAGGGGUGGAGGUGGAGGGCGGGGGAGGAGGCGGAGGUGGAAGGCAGGGAUGGAGGCGGAGGUGGAAGACGCCGAGGAAGAAGACGGGCUGAUUCAAAGUUUGAACUGGGGGCAUAAAGGUCCAUUUGCCCAUUUUCACCUGGUCGGAACAUAUUCCCCAGCGACUUACAUUUCGGAACGGAGGGAGUAGCUUGUAGUACGUCUCGUUGUGGCUUGUGAGUCAGCUUGCUAAUGUAUGUGAGUCGUCGUUAAAUCAGGUUGUGGCUUGUGAGUCAGCUUGCUAAUGUAUGUGAGUCGUUAAAUCAGGUCGUUGUUGAAUCAGAACGUGUGCUCUUAAAUUGUUCUCUUGGACUGGCUAGAGAGGAACAACUCCCGACCGUACUGGCCCAUGAACAACUCCAGGUAGGCGGCCUCAUCAAUUCCUGCGGUCCACUAGUCUGGUGUUGCUUCCCAUGGCCGUCCUCAAGGAAAGGGGCCUUGUUGUGGAAUCCAUCGGAUCUGAAUUCGCCCCUUCCCGUUCCAGGCCUAGUUGCAGGGUCUUUCCUCACGUCACGAGGGAGGCAGGGAGCUCAGUUGCACGGGUGAGGAUGAGGGCCUCGGGUGCAUGUGCCACAUUGGUCGGUGCAUGACUAGUUGAUGUUGGUGUCGAUUAGGGUUUAGGGCCAUGAAUGACAUCUAGUUAAGUAUUGCAAGAAAAUAUAGCAGGGUCAUGUGACUAUUUAAAAAAAAUCUAAGUAUAAUCUCUUAUCCAUUAUCUCAGGAAACAAUUUAUUUUUUUGUAAAUUUGCCAUGUGCUGACUGCAAACAUUUUCAAAAUUUGCCAUGCUAUAGAGAAACAUUUUCCCUUAAUUUGCCAUGUGAUUAUUGGAAAAAAAAUCUGAAUCGUUGCCAUGAUUUUAGGAAACGUAAAUUUUCAAAAAUAGCCAUGUGAUCAGUAUAAACAUUUUAAACUUUACCAUGUUCGAGAGAACAAAAUCUCUUAAAUUUACCAUGUGAUUAUCUUACAUUUUUUUCUAAAUCGUGCCAUGAUUUGGGAAUCAAAAUUAUCUCAUUUCACCAUGCGAUUAUCUAGUUUUUUUUUCUAAAUCUUGCCAUGAUUUGGGAAUCAAAAAUUAUCUCAAUUCGCCACGUGAUCACUGCAAACCUUUCCAAGUUGACUAAUCUUUUCAACAAAAUUUUAAUGUGACCAUGGCAACUCAUUCGUUUGUUUCCAUUUUCCCCCUACAUUGUGGAACUUGUUUGUGUGCGAGCUUUUAUACACAUGCAUUCUUCAACUUGUAGUGUCUUUUCUCCUAGAUCAUGAUACACUUUUGUUUUUAUGUGACAGCUUUAUACAUAUGUGAAGGAACUGUUUAACAUGGUAAAUUUAUGCUCUAUCAUGGCUCUCGAAUGUGUUUUGUAUAUACUUUGUCAUGUCAUAAUAGUAACUGUUGAUUUCAUUAAAUAAUGGGUCUAAGUAACUCUUACAGAAAGGCAUCACGCCUUGCUUUAUCCCACGAGAAUACGACCAAUCCAAAACCAGAUGUUCACAAACAUACAACAAUGUUCGAAAUAAAAAGUACUACCUACCUUCCUAAAUAUAACUUUUUAGAGACUUCAGUGUGCACCAUAUAAGAAGCAAAAUGAGCGAUCUACACUUUAAAAUAUGUCUAUAUAUAUUAGUAUGUAGUUUUUAUUAAAAUCUUUAAAAAGACUUAUAAUUAAAAUAUAUCUAUAUACAUCAGCAUGUAGUUUUAUUGAAAUUUUUAAAAGGACUUAUAUUUAGAAACGGAAGAAGUACAGAAAAUACGUGCUUGGGGCACAACAAAACAAGCCCACAAUUGCUAACAUAACUAUCAAGCAGAAUAAGUGACCACAGGCAUCCGGGACGCCAACUCGGAUCCGGUGCCUUGACACACAAAAGGCACAUGUGAAUAGCGAAACUACUAUGCAGACGAAAGUCCCUGCACGAUCAGGGAACGACAGCCAAAUCCAGCCGUCUACUUCAUUUCAGUGCUGUGCAUGGACGAGCUGAUUUGCAUUGUCGUUCACAUAUCGUCCACAGCCCAUCGUGUGUAUAGCAGCGCUGUGUGAAUAGUGCAAUGCCUUGAGCUUUCAGCCGCUAGAUCGGAAAUCAAGGUUCCAGAUUUCAGUGAACAGUACUCCGCGCUACAAUGUGUUAGUCAUGUAGCGAUUGUCCUGUAGCAGACUUCCUGUAGCGAUGCACUGUAGCAGACUUCUCGAUGUUCAUCGGACCGUUGCUUGUAGAUCCAACGGUCAGGAGAUGCCCUCAAGGCACAAUACUGUUCAUCCGUGCCUUGUGUGUGUCAAGGCACCGGAUCUCAGUCCGACUCCUCGUGCUUCCUGGCCAGGUUGUCGAUAGCGCCUUAUCCCGCCAUUCUCUUAGGGUCUCAAUAACUCUUAUCUCUUACAUUCCACGUGAAAAGGGAAGAUAAAAGGGAUCAUGUUAAAAUUAACUGUGUUUUGUAUAUAAUUAAUCAUGUCAUAAUAGUAAUUUUAAUUUUUUUUAAUCUAGUUGUCAUGAUAUUGUGAUUUUCAGAUUUUUGAAAAAAAAUACAAUGAUUUUUACAUCAGUUCUUUUAUUGGUCAACUACAGUGACAUUUGGUCCAACGGGUUGGGCAUCUCCUCUCUGUUUCGGUCGUGCAGAAUGGCCUGCAGAGAACAUCAUCAUUCUCUCAUUCCAUGCUACCUGAGGGAACAAUCGUCCCUCGGGAACCUCCUAAGGUAACGUUCACCAUAUUAGCGUCCAAAAAAUGGAUAUGGAGUUUUUGUACCUGAGAUAAGAAAAAAUAGUAAAAGAAUUUGAAAAUUCCAAUUUUUCUCCUAAACAUGCAUGUUUCAACUGCAUUUGUCAUUUCAUCACAAAAGUUUACAUGCAGUUGAAAUAUUCAUCAAUGUUCAUAAAAAAUAGAUUUUUAAAAUUUUUUUACCAUUUUCUAAAAUUUUACUGUUCAUAAGGGAGCACGUGAGAUCGGAAUUAAAAGAACAUUUGGCCAUAAAAACAAAGAAAAUGUACUAUAAUGCUUGCCUUUGGCAAGAAUAUAAACAGAAAUGCACCAGAGUGAACAAGCGCCGCUCUAGAAAUUCCAAACUGCCGGAUGCUGUAUACGGAGUCCGUAGCACGGCAAGGGCUAGUCCAUGCAUGCCUGGUCUCCGACCGGCCGCCAAACGAGAGCUGGCAUGGCCAGGAGUGCUCCACGACGCGGACAUACGUGACGUGGCGGAACAACGACAACGCAGGACAGCUCAGGUGUCCUAGCUCGUACUAGCUCAUUCCGGUCACUUCCUCGGAUAACCAUGCCCUACGCCCGUGCGCAGGCGUAUGCCCAUGCACGCUCGCACGCGUCGCGCCACAGGGGACUCGCAUGGCGCGCGUCGACACAUCAGAGGCACACGCGCCGGCGCUCCGCGCCGUGACGCGCCUCCUCCGCCGCUAUAAAAGGGGCGACGCCGGUGCCUCCUCCUUCAUCAGCAUCAGGCAAUCACGAACACCACCUUACAAGCAGUGACACAACGUUUCCCAGUUGAGGUUGUAGUAGCAAGGCAGGCAGAGAGAGCAAUGGCUUCCGGUCAGCAGGAGAGGUCGCAGCUGGACCGCAAGGCCCGCGAGGGCGAGACCGUCGUCCCCGGUGGCACCGGCGGCAAGUCCCUCGAGGCGCAGGAGAACCUCGCCGAAGGUGCGUACGGGCAUGAUGAUGCAUGCGUGAGAAAUGUCGUCGUACUAUACUUGAGCGAUCUGUGACUUCCGAUGCUGAUUGCUAGUAUUGCUGUGUGCUGUAUUUGUGCAGGGCGCAGCCGUGGCGGGCAGACUCGCAGGGAGCAGAUGGGGGAGGAGGGGUACAGCCAGAUGGGGCGCAAGGGCGGGCUGAGCACCAACGACGAGUCCGGCGGCGACCGCGCCGCCAGGGAGGGCAUCGACAUCGACGAGUCCAAGUUCAAGACCAAGUCCUAGAUGAUCUGUUACCCUAGCAAGCAAGACGAAUCUCCUUAGGUCGGCUGUUGGUUUGCCCUAGUGUCUACGUACCGAAUAAUGUAGUUCAGGCGCACGUAGGCGAUCGUACGUAGUAUGAUCAUGUGUGCUUCGUAGCUGGUAGUCUGUAGCUACUCUACGGUGAGUAGCGUCAGGUUAAGUCGGAAGCGUACUGUGGCUUGGUCAGGUGGCUGGUCUGCCUCUGGGCCCAGGAGUGUCGCAGUGUCCACUGUAUCCUUGCUUCUUCAGUAAUGCAUGUCGUCUUGCUCAAAUCUGGAGCCUUGUCUGAUUUGUGUUGAUUGCUGGUGCUUUUGGGGGCAUACCCUUGUUGCUCGUAGCCGUCACCGGCUCGUCUCAACGAGAAACACACGGGUGCCCCAUGAGCAGUCACUGUGACCGCCAAACCAUGAAUGAACGUGUACCUUCAUGGCUUUGCUCAGCACCUGCGUCUAUACAUUUGCCACGAAAGAUGAGAUACCAGAGCAGAUCGAUCGAUCUCGCGGACAUGUCCCAGAAACGGGGAGCUCUUGAUUACGUCCGGGAGUUCGGCAAUGCACGCGUGGACGAGACUGAAAGGGCCUUCCGUAAGAGAUGCCGCAUGCACUAUAUAAUUGAAGCAUCUCAUUAGUACUCGAAAUGGAGACUCUUGACUCAUCAUAAAAUACACCGUACGUGCUUGUAAGUUGUAACAAAGCAUUCACAAGGACACAUAUUUUUGGAAUUUUCGGAACUAGAGUCCACAUGUAUCCCUUAUGAAUAGUAAAAAAGAAUCAAGCCGUAAUGAAAAAAAAUAACAAAUGGCCUGUGAAGUUCCUUAACUUAGAUGAUAUUUGUUGUGGGAAUUGGUUGUAAUAUAUUUUAUAUGAGAUUUGGUUGUAUAAAGCAUGAGUAGUUUUGAUUUAUAAAUGACUAAAACCGAAUAUAUAUAUGGUAUUUGGUUAUUAUAUAAUUACAAAUUAUUUAUUGGACUUUUUUUUAACAUCAGUAAGUAGCAUAAUAUAGUGUGCUUUCUUUUAACAUCAAUACAGACGCAAGAGCUCAUACAUACGCGCAUACACUCACCCCCUAUGAACACACACAUCCUACCCUUACGAGCAUUUCCGGAGACUGAGCCGACAUAUCAUCAUGAGAUUUACAAAGUCAUCGUGGGCCCUUCGUCGUCGACGGGAACGUUUCCUCCCACUGAAAGCGCAUCACCGAAAGUCCUGAAAUAAAUCCAGAAAUAAUGCGAGCACCAGGACUUGAACCCUGGUGGACUGGGGUUACCGCCAAUCAACCACAUGUUGGUUCACAUAUAAUGGUUUUUUUUUGCCAUGGCAUGUGUGUAUAUUGAGAAAAAUAAAGUAGUGAGGAUCAACACUUAACUAGAGGUGUUGCUACAAAGGAAUUGUGCCCCUAAUACCUUAUUUUCCCCAAAAACAUCACAUAUAUGAGUAGAACAGUCGACCAGUUUUAUUAUGAAAAGGUUGUGUAUUAAUUAACCUGCCUCAAGAUUAUCCAGUGCACAUAGUUUUACAAUUCUUCCAGAACCAGACCGGAACCAGACGGCCGUCUUAAUCUCAACUCUCCCAAUCUAAGCUAAUUCAUGACUAACACGAUUACUCUCCCUUUUGAUAGCCUGGAUUUUAAUCUCCCGCUCCCCUCUCAUCAUAGUUGAGAUCUCUUGAGUAAUGGCAGUGUGUUGUGAUCUGUCAACCGAGGGGUUGGAUAUCAUCACAGCAACUUUAGCACUAUCCAUUUCAAAGGUGAACGGAAGUGAGCUCCAUUCCAAAGCAAGAGCAAUACCCUCCUUGCAGCCUCGAGUUCUGUAGCUAGAGCAUUACCACAUGUGAAGAGAUGUCGAAACGAGUUGAAAAUAAUGCUACAAGAGCUGUCCUGGAGCACCAUUCCCGUGCUCCCAUUGCCUGCAUGUGCUAUGUUUGAACCAUCCACGUUUAGUGUGAGCAACCCGGGCUUAGGCGCUCUCCAGCCCUUACUCGGACGCAGCACUUCGUGGCGCCCGGUGUGUUGUUAUGGCCGCUAGCAGCCAGUGCAUCCCUGUUGUUGCCUUCUCCCAACUCGCCAUGGCUGCUGCCGGCCGUCGUAUGUAACAUCGGGCUCAUCAAGACCAUUUUACCUUUUUCUCGGUCUGCUGUGGUCAUCAAGAGAGCCAUGCAAGAUGUGUCCAAGAGCAGCUCAAGCACGUCAAAGAGCCAUCCGGGCCUGUGUGCCGCACCGGCUUGAUGUCCCGGAGCGUCCAGUCUUUAGUCAUCGCCCUCCAAAGCUCGACUGCACGAGGGCACCUGCACAUUGCGUGAAAUCCAUCCUCGCAUUCCAGACCACACAUGAGGCAUAUGUCAGUGGUUUUCAAAUGACGGUAGAAUUUAUUUGCCCACUCUUGCAAGAUAAUUUGUCACAAGCCGCCAAGCAAACAGCGUAUCUUUGGGGGACCAGAUGGCGCGUCAACCAUCCGGUGCCAGGGCAAUAACUAGCAGGCCAAAGAUGAAGACAAACAAUAGCGUGGAGUACAGACUAGCUGGCGUGGCUACUAGACGGCCCAUCGUCAAAAUGAUGAUUGAACACCACUUCAUGUCCAAGGGGAAAACUCCUAUUCUGGCCCUCAUUCAUUGGUUAGGCUUAGCAGCGAUGAACUUGCGUCAUUACCUUGUCGAAGGUGCUGUCUCCUUGCCAUUGUGCUGGCCUUCGGUGGUUAGUUUUGACAAUUGGAAUGAAAAUCCUAGUCUUGGUUGUCUUCGACCGGACGUGAUCAUGGCGAUGUGAGAGCACUUAUUCCUCGAAAGAAGUCGGAUUAGUCGUAGAUGUUUAUUUCAUACAUUUUAUAAUGACUAAGCCGUGUUUAUCUUUCUCUAACUCUGCUUAAUACUCCCUCCGUCCAGAAUUACUUGUCAUUAAAAUGAAUGUAUUUAAAACUGAAAUACAUCUAGAUACACCCAUUUCAAUGACAAGUAUUUUCGGACGAAGGGAGUAACUAAUAAGAAUAAUUAUGUGCAUUACGAUGAUGCAGAGGCCAAGAGUUUAACCUUCUUUUUGUUUGAAAAAAAUAGCAAUGGAACGCUCGAUCCAUGCCCUGGUUCCUACGACCGGACGACGACGAACGCACGUACGGGAGUGACAAGUACGGUAGUACUACGAUCUACGCGCCAACAGGACGACAGUGCCAAGACAACGCAGGUGUUGUACGUAGGCUCCUACAGCUCUCUAGCUCAUUCCGGUGGCUGCCUCGGAUAAGCACGCUCGGACGUGUCAUCCGCCCGGUGCCUCGCCUAACGCGUGUCGAUGCGUCAGGGACAGCAAGAGGAGCGGCUUGCGUCCGCGUCGUCGCACACGCCCCGUCUCCUGGCCGCGCGGCGCGCCUCCUCUCCGGCUAUAAAACUGCGACGUCGCUACCUCCUCCAUCACCAGCACCAAACAAGCAACCACAAGCACCGCACAAGCUGAAGCAGUAGAGCGCACACGUUCCCUUCCAGUUGAGGUCCGAAGUAGCGAGGCAGAAAGAGAGCGAGCGAAGAGCGAUGGCCUCCGGUCAGCAGGAGAGGUCGCAGCUGGACCGCAAGGCCCGCGAGGGCGAGACCGUCGUCCCCGGCGGCACCGGCGGCACCAACCUGCAGGCGCAGGAGAACCUCGCCGAAGGUACGUAACAGCGCACGUCGACCUUAUGUGUCGGUGAUGGUGAUGGCGGCUUCGGCUACUCAUUUCAUGUCAUGUCUACGGUGUUGGCAGGGCGCAGCCGCGGCGGGCAGACGCGCAAGGAGCAGAUGGGGGAGGAAGAGCACCAACGACGAGUCCGGCGGCGAGCGCGCCGCCAGGGAGGGCAUCGACGUCGACGAGUCCAAGUUCAAGACCAAGUCCUAGAUGUUCACUCAGCGCGUGCGAUAGCUUAGCAAGCAAGACGACUGCUUAGCUAGUUGGUUUACCUUGCCGGAUGAAUAAUGUAGGUCAGGAAUCCUGACGUGUGCACGCAUGUAGGAGAUCGUACGUACUAGUAUGAUCACGUGUGCUUGGUAGUCGCUGCUAGUCCGUAGGUACUGAUGGUCAGUAGUCAUGUGUCCGUGUCGGUCGGGAGUGUGGUGGUGGCUCCGGUGGCUUGUCCGGCCUCUCUUCCCAAACCAGCUCCCGCUGUAUCCUUGUAUUUCCAGUAAUGUAAGUCGUCGUUGCUGAAAUCUGAACCUUGGUAGUUCGCUACUUCUAAGAGCAUCUCCAACAGUCGCACAAUGCGCGGCGCCCAAAAAUUGGGUUUACAGCGCGCAGGUAUCUUUUUUAGGCGUUAGAAGAUGGUUGCUCCAACAAGCGCAGCAAAAUAUGCUGCGCGCGUGAGUCCAGCGGUCCCAAUCAAACGGUCGAGUCCAGCGGUCCCAUCUGCAUCAGCCCAGAGUUUGCAGCCUAGGCGCACUAAAUAUGUUGCGUGCGAUACCUUUUUAAUGCACGCGCUGCAUUAGUUAUAGCGCGUGAUUUUUGUGUGGCUGCUGGAGACGUGUGGCUGCUGGAGACUUCAAAUCAGGUCCGUGCGCGCUAAAAGCAGUUUUUAUAACGUGUGUCCCUUAUAGCGCUCGCUUCUGUUGAAGAUACUCUAAGAACCCUUAUGAAUUUGCUAGUCUAUAAGGUAAAUAUCCGAAUUUUUGUCGAAAGAGACCAUCUGCCCAACGAAAUUGCCAAAAAAGACCCCUUUCGGAUGCAAUUAACAAAAAAGACCCUUGACCGUGGCGGCAGGCGCGUCGGGCCAGAACGGAAAUCCGCACCCGCGAUGGAACGGGGCUGGCGCUGUGAGCCCUGCCGCCUCAGGGGCAGGCGGCAGCACUGUAGCUGCUGGGCCCGGCCGCCUGAGGGGCAGGCGGCAGCCGUGUGCACGCCGCUUUGGUGUAUUGCCUGAUUAUGUGCGUUGGAGCAUGCCACUUUGGUGUAUUGCCUGAUUAUGUGCGUUGGAGCAACAGCGGCACGGCCAGCUCCAGAAUAAUCGCUCGCAGCGGCAAACAACAUGUGACGGUCCAGCGUGGAGCCCUUGGGCUACGCAUAUGAGGAACACACGGUAACUGAGUGGGUUCAUCUCGCCAUAAUCAAGACGUAGCAUGGUGUUCAGUUCAUCUGGCCAUCAUUCGUGUGAUUAUUUUUUUUAACAAUUUGUGUGAUUAAUUGAGUAGACGUGUGAUUGUUGCAUAGACGCCCUGGCUCAGCGACCCGUUCGACCCCUUUGCCCGAGAUAAGUCUGCUGCCUGGCAGGUGGCAGGGCCCAACAGCUACAGCGCUGCUGCCUGCAGCGCCAGCCCCGCUCCAUCGCGGGUGCGGAUUCCCGUUCUGGCCAGCCUGCCGCCUGACCGGUGGCGGCAGGGGCUGCCGCCUCCACCGUGGCGGCAGGUGCCACAUGUCGCCCGGCGCGCCUGCCGCCACGGUCAAGGAGGUCUUUUUUGUUAAUUUCAUCCGAAAAGGGUCUUUUUUGGCAACUUCGUUGGGAAAAUGGUCUCUUUUGACAAAAAAUCGUAAAUAUCCAGCCCACUAAAUGCUAGUCUUAACGAGGAUAAAGUCCUCCAAAAAACUUCUUUCCUUCUAUGAACUUUUAAGGUGUGUGAAUUUUAUUUAUUUAUUUUGCGGGAUGCAAUUUUAUUUUUAUUUUUUUAUUUUUUUUGCGGGAUGCAAAGUGUUCCCAGUUGUUGAUUGUAACUUCCAACCCGCUCAUUUAAACGAGAACUCGACGUGCCGCAUUACUAGCCACCGAACUAGCCAAUGCCACCAGUUCCUUCUACAGGGCUAACUGUACAUUUGACCAAACUGAUGAACAAGAAAAACGCACGAGCUCUGGCCGCAAGAGAGUCGGGUACCACAAGCUUCAUAUACUGGUAUAUUCCUGAAAAGUUUUAUCAGCAGGCCUUCAGCUUGACAGGAAAUGCAUACUGAAGAUGGGGUGUGGGCAUGCAGGAGGCAGUGUUCUAGCAGUUGCAGCGGAUAAGGACAGCACUUGAACGCCUAGGCCUAGACAUUCAUAACGGGCAUAUUGCUGCAAGUACAAGACAUAUUAUGCAGCCCCGUUUUCCAGCACAAGACGACCGUAUAUUAUGCAGCCAUUUUUUUUUCAAUUUUCUCAUGAAUGAUGCUCCUCUCGAACGGAAGGAGAGGCUUUAUGGAAAUGCACUUUCCAGGAGAAACAAUCUGAAUCAUAAACCGUAAUAGGAGAAACAAUCUGAUCAUUAACCGUAAUAACGUACCGUAUCAUCCAAAAUUACGUUGUACAGCCAACUGAUAGCAUCACAAACAACCUGACACUGUGCACCUACGGUCUACGCGCACUAGAGGCACGGCGGCUGAAGGGGAAGGAAGAGCCACCACCUAACGUUUCCAUCUUCAGCAUUCAGGGAGGCCUUCUUGACGUUGCUGCUGCAGAUUUAUUCCACUAUCUGUGUUGUACAAAAUGCCCCCUCAUCCAAAACAUCCAGCUUGAUUUGAGGUCCGUCCUUCCGUCAGUGGCUGGUCGCCAGGGCAGUAACCAGCAGGCCGAAGACGAAGAACGGUUGCGCACUCGCCUGCAUUGGGCACGAUAAGAUGCCGGAUGCUCGCAGUUUUGGGGGAGGCCGUGGAUGCUGAUUGGAGAGAAAGAAAGAGAAAUGCAUGGGAGAGACAGCGACCGCACCUGGUAUUUGACGUCGUACUUCACGGGGUCCUUCAGGAAGUACUGGAACUGCUCCAUGAAAUCAAGGAUUAGAAUGUACACAGCGUACAUGGCAACAGUCGGUGUUUUCAUUUCAUGUUUAUUACUCUCUCCGUUCACGAAUAUAACAUGUUUUGGAUAUUUCAAUAUGGACUACAUACGGUCUGAAAUGAGUGAACAAACACAAUAACAUGUCUACAUACAUCCGAUUCAGAAAAAAGUUUGAACAUCUUAUAUUUGUGAACGGAGGGAGUAAUAUAGGAGCUAAAGGACAGUCUGACAAGCCUUGCAGAUAGAGCAAUUGUGUAUAAUAUAAUAUAAGUCAUCUAAAUGAUUUUCACUUAUUUCAUUUGAUCGCGAAUAGGAAAUUCUGGGGGAGUGAGAACAUUUGAAAUACAAAACGAGAAAUAAUUAUAUCCAAGGUCCAAAAAGAUUGGUCAGCUCACCUGUAAGAUCACCUGGGGAAUUGUCAAUCCAACUAGUGCCAGGGCAUAAUACAGCUUACCCGUGCUCAGGAGGUACGCUGAAAAUAGAGUUACAAGAUUAGGGCAAGUUCCCAACAUAAAUUCAGGAUAGAUAGAUAGACAAAUAGUAGAUACCGAAUGAACGUAAGUUUCCUGUGCUCCCUAAUUUAUACCGGCAGAUUGUUGUACAUAUCAAUAUGGACUAUUUUCUGUUUUUGCAGAACGUAAGCUUUGGGUGUAGUUUGCCGGCAUCUGAAACUUUCUGGUAAUACUGAACAUUUCUUUUCUUCACUAAACACAUCUUCUGUCGUUAUAACUAACACCAACUGCCUUCCAAGGAUCCAUGAAAGCUUCCAUCAUUAGGUUGAAAAGUUGUAGUAUGAUCUAUUCGCUUUUCGACAAAAAGUAUGAUCUAUUUUCACAGCUGGCCCAUGACAUUAUGGUAUGGUAAGUAGUCGCAUAAAUCCAUGAACUACUCUAUUAUAUGUUUUUUUGUCAAGUUUGGGUUGCAAACCAUGCGUUCUACGUGGUCACUCAAUUAUAUGUUAAGCAAAUGGCUUAGUAGUAAGCCUUGAAGGAAGAAAGAAAUGAAAAUUUUGUAUCUUUACCUGCAACAGAUAAUUGAGUGAUGUCAAUUGCUCCAACACAUAUCCAUUUUGCAGUUUCCAUACCGAAGGCAACAGGGAGUGACUACAAAAAGGUAAAAUGAUAAACAGAUAUGCUUUGACAAUAAACCUACAAUACAGAAAAAAAGAAUAAUAACCUGAAGUCCCAGAGUUCUAUCCCCCUCGAUACUCUUAAAAUCAUUUACGAUAGCGAUCCCUAGCUGCAAAGCCAGGAAAAACAGUCAGCAAUCAUGAUGGUAUACAGGAUUGCAAACAAGCAAACAGAUCAUGAAAUAUAAAUACCCCAGCUAUGGAGUACAAAGUAGUUAGGACAACAAUGUCAGGAGUAAGAGUUCCAAAUAACGCCUGGCCAGCCCACCUGCACAAAAGAUAUAAGGAUUUUACGGUACCUUAGUAGAGUAACUCUGGUCCUUGAAUCCUAAUAUGGAAUUACCUUCCCUAUUAUUCCUCAAGGUAUUUUAUACAUUUUAACACAAACUAAUUAAGUCCCAACAGAAUUCACUAAUUCCCACCCGACAGCUCCGCACUGAGCUUCAGGCCACACCUGUACUUCUGAUGGGAAGUGGAAGUGGCGUCUGUGUUGGAGCCAAGCAAAUUGGCUCCUGCCCAAACCGCGUGGUAAGAUAAAUGUGAUUCAAUAACUUCGGCAAUCAAUCACCAAACUACCAAGUGCGAACUGGUUACGAACUUGCAAUUCCUCAGUCAUGGGCUAGGGUUCUGAUGUUUGGAAAGUGAGUUAUUUUUUCUUGAAAAGAGGAAAGUGACAGUUGUGAUGGGACUGAAUGCAAUAUGUUACCACUAACGAAAAUACAAUCCCUUCUACUUGGUAUUGUAGUGUGAUAAAAUCCAAACUAAUUUGUCCGUUACAUUGAAAAUGACAAAAGAGCGGGAAAAAAAGAUGCAUCUUCUUGUAUAUAGUAUAGGUGACAUCCAACAGAACAUUAUCCUCUUAUUCAACAUGAAAAAAAAGAUUCACAGCUUUGAUCCUACCAGGGCAAGCCAAUGUAACUCGCACCGAGAGCAAAGUUUCCUAUCCAUCCAUUCUGCUUGAGCUGAAAUGAGGAAUAAUAAGACAUAGACAUUUUUAUCAAAGAGUUCACAACACAGUGUACUAUGCUAAAAACAAGAUGCAGAGUGCAUAGAACACAAGUACUCAAGUACCUUGAGAGGCGGUGCUGAAUAUAUGUAAGAAAGCAAGGACCCACCCAGAGCAAGGUAGAAAAUAAUAGGAAAAUCAUGCCCUGCCUGAAAUGGAACUAGAGAAUAAGCAAAGAAGGAAUGUAUCUUCAACCUCUUAUUAUACUAAAGUAAGUCUUGUUGUGACUUGUGACUUACCCAUAUGUCUAACAAAGCACCCAACCCAAGACCUGCUAACAGUAAUACCCAGAUCUGAGUAAUUACCUGGAUCAAAUCAACAUCAUUAGUAAGACAUGUCAAUUCUCACUGGACAUUUGACAUCAGCCUUUAGAAUAAGAUCGGACGAUCGGAAGCUCAUCAUUAUUAAUUAGCCAAUUUUGUUUGAAACAUUCUACAAAAGACUGUAGCAAUACAUACUCUUCAUCAUCCCAUAAGAAAACAAAUCCGAAAAUGGGGUUUCAAACAGUAAAGCACAACAACUUCAAGCAAAGUAUCACAUUAAUCAACUCGCCAUCUAGAUAAUGUCUAUAAUAUUCAAGCUAUAAUAUAAGUGAAACACAUGUUAAGCUUCAUGCACUAGUCAAUGCAACCAAAAGUCCGAACUGAUGGAAAGGGCUAGGCAAUCCACAUAUACACUUCAACACCCCCUCUCACGUGUGACGCGGGAAGUCAACACAUGAAUAGACUCAGAGGUAUGGCUCAAGAGGGCUAUGCGUGGACACAGAGGAGGCAAGAACAUUUUUUUGAUAAAUUGCGAAAGCCGGACUUGAACUCAAGACCUUAGGCUUUGAUACCAUGUUAAGCUUCAUGCACUAGCCAAUGCAACCAGAAGUCCAAACUAAUACUCCCUCCGUCCGAAAAUACUUGUCAUCAAAAUGGAUAAAAAGGUAUGUAUCUAGAACUAAAAUACAUCUAGAUACUUCUCCUUUUAUUCAUUUUGAUGACAAGUAUUUCCGGACGGAGGGAGUAGAAAGGGCUAGGCAAUCCACAUAGACACUUCAACACAGACUCUAAUGAAAACAGAACCCACAUGGAAGCAAUUAUGGGGACAUGCAAGUUAUGUAGUUUUGAUGUUUUGAACCAAAAAACAAAAAA
rnacentral:lncRNA from 1 species